ACACAAAAUUUUUGCGCAUUUUGUAUUAAGAUAGAAAAUUUUGAUAUAAACAUGUAUGACUUUAAAUAUGCACUAGUUUCGGACGGAGGGAAUGAAAAUGAAUGAAUAUACGUAUAUAUAGGACUAAACCACUAAUGAUGAUGAUCGAUCGGUGUUAUUAUGCAAAGAAGCAACGUUAUCACGAGCAAAUGAACAUCAUGUACAUAUAAUCCCACGCUGCGCCUCCACGGUCACCAAGAAGACUUGAUAAUAAAAUUACACAUGGAUCAUCUAUCAAACCAUGCAUGCAUGCAUGGCGCCACCAGCAGCUAACUUAUAGUAAUAAUUCAUAUAAGAAGAACACGCAAGUCCUUUAAGCAUGCGACGGAGGAUUAGAUGUCGAAGGAUUCCUUGCCGGUGAACUUGACCUCGAUGGGGCUGACGUUCUUGCCGAUGCUGCGGAAGUUCUGCCCAACGCCCUGCCUGCCGGCGUUGACCUUCUCCGGGUAGACGCCGUCCUUGGGGUGGAGGUACUGCACCUCGCCGUUGGGGAAGACGCGGUAGAACUGGUAGUUGAUCUUGUACUUGGAGCGCAGCCUGGUGCCGAGCGCCAGGCACUGCUCCUUGCGCGCCAGCUUCAGGAGGUUUGGACCCUCCCGCAUGAUGGCGGCGCCGCCCGUGGGCAUCUCGAACACCUGCUCCUUCGGGGACGUCCACGUGAUCACGUAGAACUCCUCCACCUGCGCCUUCCGGAGCAGCCCGCCCGUGCUGCCGCCGAAGAUGGGCGACGGCGUGUUGGGGUCCAGCUGCGGGGGCACGAAACCCUUGGGGGCCUCCUCAGUCACCGCCGCCGCCGCCGGUCCGUCGUCGGACGCGCGGAGCGGGGCCGGACCGCGGGACGACGGCAUCGCGAGCUGCGAGCUCAGCUGCCGUGGCUUCGCCCAGGCGGCCGCCAGCAGGUGGCGCGUGGCGGCGGAGGCUUGCGUGGCCAUGGCCAUGGGCGCGCGGCGGAGAGCUUCUUGGAAGGAAGGAGAUGAGAGAGUAGUGGACUGGAUGGAGAAGGGCGCCGCGCGAGCAUGCAGCUAAGAGGACAAGAGAGGCUGGUGUGGCCGAGACCGCAGGUUGGCGAAGUGGAUAAGGGGAUAUGAGUCCGGCCAAUGGGGAGUGCGGAUUUUGAUACGUGGGGAGGCUGGGCAUCCACACACGUCACAGCGGGGUCGUCGUCUUCCACACGCACCAAGGAGAGCGUGGCACAUCACAAUAUCUCGUCAUCGCAUCAUGGUGCAUCGCCGGUAGUUGUACAGCAUGGAUAUGAUAUAAAGUCUGGCCAAAGCUAAGGUUUCAUUGCCACGGGCCCGUUUCACCAAUAAAGUAGGUUUUUUUAGCUAUAGAGUCGAAGCUAUUUUUUAUGAAUCAUUUGAUAAAAUAGUUUUACACGUAGAGAUUUUAUAAAUAUGCUCUCAUACAAUUUCACAUAGGGCCCACAGCGAGCUGAACUUUGAAGAAGAAGAAGAAGCUAUUUUUAGCUUCAUUCCAUACCAAUUUCUUGUGGCAGCAGGUUUCAAGAAGCUUCACGUGAAUCUAUUUUUUAAAAAAUAAAUGUUUGACAUAAAACAAUUUCAAACAACUCAUAAAACCUACUGAAAAAACCAUGCCAAACAAGACCUAAAUCAGCGGCCCUGUUAAGCACAUGUUUGUUUGGUGAAGCUCAACUCCUUCGUGCAAUUAGGAGACGUUAACAAUAUCUUUUUUCCCCAUUAGAAGCCUCUCCGUACGCUAAAUGUUUGCUUAGCAGAAAGGCUAUAACUUAAAGAUUGUUUACUGAUUUAUUAUGAAAGAAAAACAAUGCUAAAUAACUCAUAAAUUCAGUAGAUAAAUUCAAGCGAACAUGCUCGCUGUAGUAAAAAGCUGGAGCUAAACAAAACCGUGUCACAUAGUGCCUGUUUGGUGAAGUUUUGGUCAGUUCUGACUUGAGUUCUUUUUGCGCACUACAGUAAAGUGAUAUUUUGUCUCUAUUACCAUUAAAAUAAAUUAGAAACUGAUAAUGCAACAGUUUAGGCCUUGUUUAGUUGUAAAAAGUUUUUGGAUUUUGACACUGUAGCACUUUUAUUUGUUUGUGACAAAUAUUGUCUAAUCAUAGACUAAUUAGAAUCAAAAGAUUCGUCUCGCGAUUUACAGGCAAACUGUUUAUUUAGUUUUUAUUUUCGUCUAUAUUUAGUGUUUCAUGCAUGUGCCGCAAGAUUCGAUAUGACAGAGAAUCUUGAAAUCUUUUUAGUUUUUGGAGUGAACUAGACAAGGCCUUAUUUUUUUUUCCUUCACUGGUUCCUCCGUGGACUGGCGUCAUUUUAGCAGCACUGCACCAGUGAUGAACCGGAUCGUCCUGGAUGUACACACAGUGGUCUGCGUCAGUGCACUGCCGGCCCAGAGAAGGUAUAGUUCUACUCAUUUUAUAUGGGCUGAAGUGAUACUUUUGGCCCACAAAAUGUCCAAUGGGCUGUCGCCCGGAUGCCAACUUCGAAGGCCCGAAGAGUCAAGUUUCCCUCUUACCUGGUACAAAAAGAAAAAGAGAAAAAAAGAGAGGCGGAAACACACCGUAAUUCGUGGUAAUUAAUCUGCAUGGUAAGGGAAAGUGCCUCUGAUUACAAAAAAAAUUACGUCUUGAUUGAAGACCAUGAAACAUGUUUCAUAUUUAAAAAUAACCCGGACUAUCAACAAAGGAGCAAUGUUUCGUUUUCUACACGACAAUACGUAAAAGGAACGCAAUAAAAGCCAUUCCACAUUCCCCAGUCCCCCACCUAGGGCGCCAAACCAGAGACGGCGGGCAAGGAAAAAAAGAAAACCCUCCCAAUCAUGAGCCGUCCGCGCCCGAUCCGACGGCCACGGACCCUCCCAGGGCAGAGCGGACCCAUCCAUAACAGGAGGGGAGGCAGAGGAGAGAGCGGCUGCCCCCCCCCCCCCCGCGCCUGGCUGCCUCUUCGUCUCUCCUGCCAAGAACGCGUUGGCGCAGCAGCCCAGGAAGCAACACCCAGCCGCCUAAUCCCGCAACAACUCGUCCUCCUCUACUCCUGAGGCUCUUCUACAUCUUCCUACCAGUUUUCGAGAGGUUUGCUGGAGUGGACCGGCGGUGGAGCAGCAAAUCUGUAAGCACCAUUUCUAACUUCUUUCUCGUCCCCAUUCUUCUGGAUUUGGGAGCUUUUUUCCCCUUCUUCUUCUUCGGUUUGGAUUUUCGAGGCCAUCUCGUCUCGGGGUUGGAUUGAGUGCGUUGGACCUGUGAAUCUGGAUCCUGGUUACUACUUACUAGUCGCGUUGGUGUAGCUGGAACUGGAAGGUUUGGCCCUGAUUUCUCUUGCAUGUAGGAACUCUUUCUCGAUCACCGUAUAGAUACCGCCGCUUUUUCUAAGCUUGCUCGACGUUUGGCACGCAACCUGAACUCGUCUCGCCCGCGGCCGAUCUCCUCCAUCCGCUGGACGCGCCGCAAUCCGGAGAGGAGACUACGCUAGGUCGAGCACCACCUGGGGCUCAGCGUUCUCACGACCAGUUCCGGCGCGGCGUCCGCCCUCUGCAGCCACUCGCCACUCGCCCCCGCAACCGUCGUUGUUGUCGCCACUUUGGCCGGCGACGAGCACCACCAGGACAGCAGCUCGCCUUGGUCCUCCCUUCCUGCUGUGCCAAGCCGUGCGCCCAAACCUUAACGUAAUUCGUAGGUAAAACCGUGCUCCCAAACCCUAGCAUACUAUUCGUAAUCGGAUCUACUGGGUCCGCCCGUGCUCGGUUGUGUUGGAUUUUUUGUUCUUGGGUUACUGAUUUCUCUGUAGGUGUUGACCUCUUGAAGAGAAAGAUUAGAUUUUUUUUGGCCCCAAAACAGAGUGAUUUUUUGUUUGCUAGUUUUACUGCAUGCUCUGUUUCCCCCCUCUAGAUCGACCGAGGAGUAGGAUUCAGUUAAUAUCAAGUUAUAUUUUUGUUUUAAUCUCAUCCUUGAUGGGGUAAGACCGUAAGAGUGCUCUAUGUGUUUGGAUGGAGAGGAAGACCCUCUUCUUGAUUUUUUUGGGGCGCUAACAUAGUUUCCUAAUUAAUUUGGGGGCCAGAUUUUUUAUCUGAUUCGAGUGUCCAAGUUCACUAAAUCCACUGGAACUUUGAUCCAAAGUUGUUCUGUGUACUUCAUUCACUACCUAGUGCCUAACUACCCGUGUACACUUCCAGGAUACAGUAUGGAUCAGGACGCGAAGGACUCGAGGCCCUCAAGGUCUCCCAGCGAGCCAAACCUCUUCCUGCAAUGGGGCAGCCGGAAGAGGCUGCGAUGUGUCAAGACGCGUGAUGAUGCCUCACCAUCACCAUCUCCAUCUGAAGGUCUGAGACGUGCCAUACCCCGUGCUACUCGACCCCUCCUUGGAGCUGACAUUGCUACAUUUCGGUCACCACGGCGCCCUAGCACCCUUAACCGCAGGUAAUUUCACCGUGCGCAGGCUUUGUUUGCAUUGGCCACUAUAACAUGAGCAAGUUCCCUGAGCCCCUGAUACAUUAUGCAAAAUACCUUCUGUCAGCAGGAAAUCAGAUUCACUAGUGAAUGAUUACAAGCACUCGAUUGCGCUAUCACCAGAGAAGGACAGGUAUUACACAACGAGGGGUUCACCAUUUCCCUUCGAUGGAAAUGGGUUCGACUUUGGUAGCAUAACAGAGGAGAAGGGAACCACUGCGUUGCCAAGAUUCUUCAUUGCAUUGUCAAACAAGGAGAAGGAGGAGGACUUCAUGGCAAUGAAGGGCUGCAAGCUGCCACAGCGGCCAAAGAAGAGGCCCAAGUUGAUGCAGAAGUGCUUGCUUGUAAUGCUUACUUCCACUAAUUCAAUUUAUAAGUUUUCGCUUCAUUGUUAUGAUCAUACUCAUUCUUUCGAUCUUGUCUUCUGUUUCAUUUUUGGACAACUAUAGAUGGUGAGCCCAGGAGCUUGGUUAUCAGAUUUGUCGCAUGAGAGAUAUGAAGUUAGAGAGAAGAAGAGUUCUAAAAAGGUACCCUGCAUAUAGAUAAUUUUGUUUUGCUUAAAGAAGUGCAUUUGUACCUGUGCCUCUCUAUUCAACUUCAAAUUUACAUUCUCUUACUGCCUGUUGAUUGUUGCUGAUAUGAGUGAAACAACCUGCAGAGAGCUAGAGGCUUGAAGGCUUUGAGCAUGGAGAGUGAUUCAGAAUAGAGGUCGAGGCAAAUGAAUUUUUUGGACUUGACUUUAGCUGGUGGCAAAAAUCUAUAGUUAGGUGGCACUGCCUACUGCUUGUCAGACAAACCUCAGCAUCUAAUUUGGUGUUAUGAGUGCUCUGAUCAAGAUCAACUGAUGUCAACAGCAAAGAGCAUGUUAGAUUCCUGAUCUAGUGAGGUGCAGCUCCAUCUUUCUGGGUAGUGGGCGCCUUUGUGAGAAACAAUGAAAGUUGGAUACAAUAGAUGGUUUCUCAAAACCACAGGAAGGAAUUUCAACCGUUGUGAAACAUUGAAAGUUGGAUGUUGGCUGAGAACAAAUGAAUUAUGAUGUUUAAUUGUCGUAAACUUGUAGCUGUAAGACUUAUGGUAAUCAUUCAAUCAAAACUGACCAAAAUUUUCAAAUGUGGACUAGCCUGCUGUAUGAAUGAGUUGAAGCUGUGCCAGACCCUGUUUCUUUCAUCCUGCCUACAGCUGAAACAGACUUUGGAUGAAACAGACAGGGCCUGAGUUCCCAGAGUUUUCUGAAGUCUUAUCACAGUCAGGAACAUAUGCCAUCUUAUUGAGUACUCUGUACAUAUGCCUGACCUCUAAUGUGAAUUGUGAUAUUCGAUGAUCAUAAACUGAUAUGAUAUAGUGAUAUACUACCAUCUAUGCAUUGAGAGCAACUGCUUGCAGACUAGUAGGACUAUAUAGAAGUGUUUUUAGAUGGUGGUUCGUAAGUGGGCCGGUCGUGAAACCGUUACAUAUGUCUGGGCCUGAUGGGCCGGCUCCCUCCCAAAUCCGGCAAAUCCCAAUAGCGCUCUAUUCACCCGCACCGCCCGCUCUCGGCUGGCCUCCGCGGUCCGCACCGCCUACCGCCGCCUCCUCCGGCCAGCCAGUCGCCGCCGCAACCCCCAAGCUCCAGUCCCGGGCGCUGCUCCGCCUCCCUCCUCUUCCGGCGGCCUCCCUCGGUCCGUCCCUGGCUCCGCGCGCAACCGGAUCCAAGCGAGUCCGGCUUGGACACGUCACCAGUUUUCCUCUCCGCCGUCUGAUCGAGGUUAGCAAAAAGGGAAACCGACCUGCAAUCGCACGGGUAAGGUAAAACCAAGCUGUAGCCUUUUUAUCUGUCGGCCAGUCCGGUCUGUCCAUCCGGGAGCCGGGUUCGUUCCUUGGCGAUGGAAGAAACCCUAGCCGUCGAAUCCGCCGCCGGCGAGACGGCGGCCGCGCAGGCGCCUGAGCGGAAGGAAGAGACGCUCGAGGAGGUGCUCUCGAGGCACAGGUUGGUUCUCCCUUCCCCUUGCUUGCUGUGGAUUGGGUGAUUAAGCUCGUGCCUUUCCUACUAGAUUUCCGUUUAACUUACGCAUCGAAAUCGAUUUUCCACCCCCAAGGUACAUUACUUGGGGUUCUUGUAAAUUGUAGGGUGCCUGGUUAAUUGUAUUUGAUGACACUCUAGUACGGUCGUGGAUAGUGAAUUGCGACAAAAAGUAGUGCCUUUUCUCUCUUUUGAAGAUAAAGACAAAAUUACCGAGCUACCGAGUAGUUUGCAUUUGCAUAUCUUCUUGUCUUUGUAAUUUAGUGUGGUUAUUAUAGCUGGGCAGUAUUUCUGUGCUUUUUCUUCGUUAUACUACAACAGUUGCAAAUUGAUUUAUCUAGGAAGGUUGACAUUUUUGUCGCGACUCGCAACCUAGAUGACUAAACCUCUCAGGGGAGUGCAAUUUAGACCCAACCAUCCCAAUUCCAUAGAGAACAAAUUUAAUAAGCACACUUGCAUGCACCACAAAUAGAGAGGAAUCAGCUGUGGCGAAGUAACCAUGUGGCAUAUAUGCUAGCCUUAACUAUCUUUAUCAGAAGGGAUUAUAUCAGUUGUCAACCUUGCCAUGAACUAGAAAGAACAUGUGACUAUGUGUCGGUACUGUGACACUCAGAUACCAUAUCAUGCAUGCUAAGGUUAAGUUACACAGCAACUACGAACAUACCUCAGACUCAGACUGCUGGUUGGUGACAUAUCAUAUCUCAGACUCAGAUUAGAGCUGGCGACCAGCCUUGGGAUGAGUCCGCCUGGCCAACACUUCGGGAUGGAUGGAUUGAGUCCUAUAGAUGAUGCUUGUAGAUGAGAGACGGAGGAAGAUUGCCGCAUUUUCCUGGGGCAGGCAGGAAAAGAGCACACUUACGGGAAAGCGGCAUCGCAGGAUGGGACAUUGCCGGAGCACGUGGGCGAGAAAGAGCGUGCACGGGGAGGGGGAGGGGCUGUGGGUGCGCGAGCAGAGCGGGCCGUAGGGGUCGCCGGAACGUGCGAGGCACGGGGAUUUUGUGGCGGCAGGCAUCGGCAGCGCGGAGGUUGUAGGGCGUGGGCGCACUGGAUCUGAGUGGUGCCACUAGAAAUGAUGUCGCCGUCCACAACGUGAUAGCGAUUUUUUUCUUCCGUCUUAGAUGCACGUGAAGACUGAAGACUCCGUUUCUUGAUGUAGAAACGGUUUCUCCUUUUUUUCCUUCUCUCUAAAAUAAAUCUACUGCCACGUUAGCAAAUUGCUCACUUGGCAAGAUAAUUAAUACAUAUUGAAACUAUGGUAGUGUCUGCAUUGAGAGUGCCCUAAAAAAUUAUGGUUACAAUUAAAGUUCCUCGCUAUUAAAGCUAUUUAUUUAUGUAGUGAUGAUUGCAAGCAAAAUAUAUACUUGUAUGCACUUAAUUGUCAAGUGAUUACGCAGACACGCACAUGACACAAGUUGUACAUGCCAAUUGUUUGCCUUUUGGUUUCGUAUGGAUAGGCUUCUCUUAGAUACGUGUGCUAUUCUAUCUCUAGGGUCAUGUACUGAAGUGCAUUGCCACUGCAUUAGAAAGAUAUCACGGUGAUAUGAUUGUUGGAGAUUCUUAAUGCCAAUUGUUUACCUCCUGUUCUCCAAUUUGAUGGAUAGACUAGAUACAAUGUGUAUCUCUAGGUUCACUUGCUAUAUGUCAUGUACCAAAGUGCAUUGUCACUCCAUUACUACAAACUGGGAGUAGAGAAGCACAUCUAUGCCAAACUUUGCAGUCCAAUUGCUUUCAUAAUGAGAUAGAGGAUUGAUGCCAUUAACCCACUCUUGAACCAAUCAGCCUAAAGGAAAAGGUGUUACAAUUGUAAUGCACUUUGGUUAUUCAUUUCCUAUUCAAUGAAGUUUAUUAAGAUCACAUCAAUGCCAUCCAUAUUUUUUAGAAAAAAAAAAUGCUGCAUUGAUCACUUUAGGUGCAGUGGUUUAGAUUGUGCGAUGGUCUGAUGGACCUCUGUUUGAUAAUGUACAUAUCGGAAGAUUAAGUAUGACAUAAUAGUUUAGGUUUGAAAACUUUGUAUAAUGAUCAAUUCGAAACGCAUGUGUCUUUGAGGGGGUUUCUCCUUCGCUGAGCAUGCUUUGGAGUGAGCUAAAGAAUGAACAUAGUCUCUGGUGCAUGGCUGGGGCAAAGAAGCUCCUUGAGCUUGGUUUGGCGUUGGCUGACUAGGGCUGCUUAGUUAGGGUCUAGCUUCAGUUGAUUUCUAUGAGCCCAGUAAAGGUGUGUGUGUAAUUGCCUCACUCAUAUUUGGUCCCCGUAUGAGUGAGGAUCUUGUUGGGGACCCACCCUAUUUUUCUUCUCUAUAAUACAAUGAAACGCAGCUCUCCUGUGAUUUUCAAAAAAAAAUGUUAUACAAUAUAGUAGCCGAGUCGUCGUGGGGAACAAAGGGUCACACCUGAAGGUUCUGAUCAAUUUCUAGAGGCACUUUUAUGCCAGCUGACUGGUUAAGCACAAUAUAUUGUGUUGUGCACCAAGUAUGUUCAUGUCAAACCUUGUGACCUGCAAAGCUGUGGCUGUUUCAUAAUUCUCAAUUUGUCUUAUUGUGCAAAAUCAGGUGAGUAGCUGACUUGUGUUGAUGCUGGAACUUGCUGUUUUUAAUUCUUACUCCAUUCCUGAAAUAAGUUCGUUCUAGCCUCUUGGUCAGUUUUCACAAAACAGUUUGUUUUAUGUGGAGCACUGGUAAAUUAGACGGCUUUGCCCCGUGGCCCCUUCGUUUCCAGCGCUGCCUCUUCAUUAACACGCAGGAGCGCGGGUGAGCGCUGCAUGCGGCCAACCAGGAGUGGGCUGCAUGCAUGCAAGGCUGUAAAAAUCGCCAAAAAACGCGGGUGCGGGGGAUCGAACCUGUGCUGCACGCCUAAUAGCGCCCCUUGGUAACCGGUAGGACGAAGAGACAUAUUCGUUCAAUAGAUGCCUGAGAGACUAUUUAAUAAGGGCAAACAAGGAAAAAUAGCCUCUAAUUAAUCACUCCUUGGUAUCUUAUAAAUCAUGUCCAAAACGAACUUAUUUCUGGGAUGGAGGGAGUACUUACUUCCUUAUAGUUCACUUUAGCUUUAUCCUAAGUCAAACUUAGCUAGCUUAGGAUAAAUUAAAGUAAACUAUAAUUUGGAAUGAAGUAUUAUCAUCCUUGAUGUUCUUUGCCUGUUUACUUGAGGGUUUCAUAGCUAGCGAGCUUCUUCUUUUCCAGCAAGUCACUAGUUUCCUUACAAGUUCAAUAUAUCUGAAACAGGAAAGAGAAAUCAAAACUCCAGGAUAAGGAAACAAGCCUCAAGAAAGCUGCUGCAAAAGGAAGCAAAGCUGAGCAGAAGGCAAAGAAAAAGCAGGUAGAGGAAGAGAUUACACGCCUCUCAAGAGAGUUAGAGGCGAAUCAUGCUGCAGAGCUUGCUUCCUUUGGGUACAAACCCUCUGGCAGCUCAGAGAAGGGAAACCUUGACAACUUAGUGAAGGCCAUAGCUGGUGUUUCAGUUUCCAGCAAUUCGGAUUCUGCAAAGCCCAGCAAGGGAACACGACGGCGAGAGAAGAAGGCGAAGGAGGAAGCUGCUCGAGAGCAGCGGAUCCAAGAAGAACAAAGCAAUCUCGUGAGCGACCGCAUGUUAGAAAACGAGAAGCUUGAAAGGAAGCUUGAGCCCUUGGGGCUGACCAUUCAAGAGAUAAAGCCGGACGGUCACUGCCUGUACCGUGCUGUCGAAAACCAGCUAUUGCUCCAUUCCAAUGGUGCUGCACAGUACAGUUACCAGGACCUACGGCAAAUGGCAGCCAAGUACAUGAGGGAGCAUGCUGCUGAUUUCCUCCCAUUUUACUUAGCAGAAGGCAAGGCCGAUAUUGGACCAGAUCCCAUGGAGAGCUUCGAGAGGUACUGUGAGGAGAUGGAAUCCACUGCAGCUUGGGGUGGGCAGCUCGAACUUGGUGCACUGACCCACUGCCUGAAGAAACAUAUCGUGGUCUACUCAGGCUCCUUCCCGGAUGUGGAGAUGGGCAAAGAAUACAAAUCUGGAUCUGGAGGUAGUGAUGCCGGUGAUGCAAGCAUCAGGCUGUCGUUUCACAGGCAUGCCUAUGGUCUAGGCGAGCACUACAACUCGGUGAUUCCAGCCGAAUCAUCUUAACAAGAGAAACUCGAUGUUCUGAUGGUCUCUAAUACAUUUUGAUUGUUUAUGAGUGGUGCUUGUCUGAGUCUGAACACAAUAGAUGACUUUUUAUUUUCCUGGUUGCUGUAAUCUUUCAAUCUGUCGAUGAAGGUAGUGUACCAAUCAAAGCUGUAUUGGGGAGUUUGUUUCCCAAACAAUUUUGCUCUCUUCAGUGAUAUGUUUUGUGGUUUGAAGUUGUGUUCUGUUACUGUUCUCACUUCUCAAUAGUUGUUGUUGCUGCUUAUCCAUGAGUCCGUUUGCCUCUGCAACAGCAUCGUGUCGUUGCUGACUUGCAGCUUUCCGAAAUCCCGACCAUUUGAAUUGCAGUUUGGCCUUCGGUGUCCUUGUGAACUUCUGAGCUGUCCGUUUUAAUCGCAGUUUGGUCAUUGGUGUCGUUCUGAACUUGUGAAUUGUGAUCUGUCAUUGUGCUGCACUGCUGCUAAGCUAUGCGUGUGUUCUUGGAAGGCUGUCUGAUCUAUGUUACGCACUUGCUCCAACUUUUAUUCUCCUUUUCCGAGACAAAUUUGCUCUAUUUUUAGUUACAUUUACACACGUACAAUUUGCAGGCAGUACUGUCUGAUCGUGUCAACAUUGAAAACACAAAGCACACACUAAAAAAAAGUAGAUUAUUGCAGUGUUGUUGUCUUCCGUCAACUAUUAUGUCAUAUAUGUAAUAUGCUUGGGCAUAUUUUAUUUAUUAUAUACUCCUUUCAUCCUAAAAUAAUUUCCUAUCUCGUAUUUUAAGGAGUCAAACAAUCUCAAUUUUUACUAAAUAUAUACAAAAAAUAUUAAUAUUUGUCAUGCCAAAUACUGUAAACAUCAUUAGAUUAAUUGCUGUCAUAUAUUCUCAUAAUAAACCUAUUUACUAUAUUUUUUUAAAACCAAAGAUGGAGUCUUAUUUUGGACUGAAGUAGCAUUCCUCGCUAUUGUAUACAUCCUAGAUAGGUUCCCUCGGUUCCAAAAAAGAGUGUCGUUUUAGGUUUUUGUGCCACAAGUUUGACUCGAUUUGUAGAAAAUAUAUGCAAUAUUUAUAUCUCUAAAUAAAUUUGUUAAAAAACUAGACUUAAAGAUCUUUCCAAUGAUACUAAUUAUGUACUAUAAAUACUAAUAUUUUUUACUAUAUAUUUAGUUAAACUUAUUUUUCGGAAAACGAAACGACACUUAUUUUGGAACGGGAGUAGCUUUUAUGGGUAUGCCUUCCCGCACACAUUUUUAUCGCCUACGAAUCGAUGUAAGGGUAAUUACAUUAAUGUUGUAUCAUAGAUAGUCUUAUGCAAUGCCACGUAAAAUCAUGAGACGAUUGAACAACUACUAACUCAUACAAUCAGUUAUCUUUUAAGUUGUCUUAUAAGAAUCCAAUUAUCCUCAAUUUAUGCAAUCAACAAAGAAAAGAUUACUUUUUGUGAGUGCAUGGGAAUAUUAAAUCAUACUUAUAAUGGUAAAAUAAUAGUAAUCUGAUAGUCUUAAUUUUUCUGUCAUGAGAUAAUUGCUUCACAAAAUAACCACCUCUUGCUCUCUCCUUCACGUCCCGAGUGGCCACAUGUACUGUUCCUUUCUAGUUUCUACUUGCAACACGGCCCACAGGCCCAACUUGGGCUUGGGGACGCGAGCACAGGCCGCCACCUGCGCUCCAUCUGCAUUGCAUGACUGCAUCCAUCUCCAUCCCAUCCAUCUGACUUUUUUUUUGAUAGGCGAUCCAUCUGAAUUCAGAAUGGACGGACACGGAACAGCAUCGUUGGGCGUUGGCUGUUUGUUUGAGAUUAUUUAUUGAAUCUGUCAGAUAUUCAGUAAGGCUUUGUUUGGAUGUAGUUAGAUUCGUAUCAAUGCACAUGUGUUAGGGUGGGUUGGAGUGAAACUUGAACUAAUUCCACCCUAAUCCGUGAAUCCGACAACAUACAAACAAGACCUAAAGUGUAUUUUUAGCCAUGACUUAUUAGUUAAUCCAAUAGGAUGUGUGACUCUGCUUGACUGCUCUAGUGCCCACUGGCCACUGCACUGCAGACUCCACUCCAGCGACUCUGUGAUGGCGGCCAUCUUGGAUUCUUUCUUGGGUCUUGGUCUUGGGUAUGGCGGCCAGCCCAUCCUAUCAUUAUUGGCUCAGGAUGGGGGCAGCCAGAGCCACCGAGCCAGGCACACUAUUACCUGCCGGACAUGUGCUCGCCGGCCGGCUCCACUUCCACUCUGCGACUGCGACUGCGUUGUCUCCAAAGAUAUCUGCAGUGGACGCUCGCUCCGCUCCACAGCGACGCCGUUCACCUCACCUCUAGCAUCCUGAUCCACCUCGAUUGCUUCCUCCCCUCCUUGACUGCUCUCGCUCGCUUGCCACCACGUCCUACAGUAGACGAUCAGCCCGAACUACCGAACAUGCUACGAACGGGUACAGUACUGCGGAGUACGUAGCUACUAGUUCUAUUACGAAAUUAAUACAAUUCUGCGAAGUUGUGGACCACAGCGCAUUCACGUUCAGGAGAUAUAAAACUUAUUGCCAUGUAAACACGAUCAACAUCAAUUGAAAAGUCGAUGAUGCUGGUUCAGAAAAUUCCAAAAAAAAAAAGGUUUGACUAAGGUAGCACUUUCAUUUAUGCUUGGUAAUUAUUAUCUAACCAUAAACUAACUACAAACAAACUAUACAAUUACUUAUUUUUUUAUUUAUAUUUAAUGCUCCCUACAUGUACCAUAAGAUUCAUAAUUUUUGGGAACAAAACACUGAACGAUGGGAGACCUAGUCCUACUUACCAAGACGAAUGUUUUGAUUGCCGGUAAACAGGAUCUUCCUUUUUCCGUUUACAGUCCUGCGGGCCAAUGUUUGGUUGGCCUGGGAAAUUGCGUCACAUGGACCCUGUCAUGUUUUCACAACGGCACAAAUUUUUCCAGCGUCGACACGCACAGAAUUGAAAAUUAAGCUGCUGCUGUUCUGCCCCCGCCCCCAAAACAAACCGUCUCUCACAAGAGAUUACCAGGAAAAGCCAACGAAAACAUCUGACUGAUGUACAUGUCAUUGGUGCACUAUUUAUACCUUCACUACCCGAGUACAGAACAUUUUAUGAUCUCCAAGAUGUGCUCUAUCCAAAACUAUUAACAAUGCAAUGGCAUGGACAUUUCCUCUUCUUUUUUUCACCCUUUUGUUCUUGUUCUUGUUCUUGUACCCAACCAGCACAGUUAGGCAGUUACCCACCAUCCAUCAGUGGCACACAAAGCUGCUGGCCUAGAUCUGAAUUCUGCCCAUUCCACCUUUCGGUGCGCCACACUGACAUCCAUCAAAGGUGAAAAAAAGGGUGACAGGGAAAAAAAGAGGCACAGCCCAUAACCACAAGGACAAGUGAAUCUACCAUAUAGGAAAAGGAGGUAGGCCACCAUAAGGGUGCCAUGCUUCUCUUCAGAAGCUAUCCUGGCACUAAUGAAAAGAGAACAAGAAGAAACUCAAGAGAGAAACUACUACAAGUGAAGCCACCAGCACAAACAAAAGACAGACCCACCCAUUCACAUCACAUACUACUACCUAGAGCUACCAGAAAACUGAUGUAUUACCACUCCGAUGGCUGUCACACCUUGAAAGUUACUGGCAGUUGGAGCUCCUCCCAGGGCCGCCGUAGUAGAAGUAGGUGCCCCAGUCGCCGUUGUUGCCGUUCUGCACGUCGUAGCAGUUUGACUGCUCAGUGAAGGUGCCCAGCCCCUUGGGGGCCUUGAGGUUGUUGGUGCUGUCCACCACCUGGAUGUUCUUGAAGUAGCUCGCCUUGCUGAACCCUUCCUCCGGGAAGUGCCCGCUGCCCAUCUGCGUCGAGGUGUGCACGCCGUCUGGCUGCGAGUUCACCACCUCCCCACCCCACUCGAUCAUCGAAGCGCUGUCCGCCAGGUACGAGAAGAGAAAGGACGGCCAGUAGCCGAGCACGUAAUCCUUGCCGAAUUGCAUCCACCAGUUGCCCUCCUUUGGGUCCUGCACAGUUAACAUCAUACGGAAGAGAUUAACUAUAGAUAUAGCAGCCACACAUUGGAUGUAUUUUAUGCAAAAUCCUUUUCUACAUUUACAUAGCUAGAUUUGAGUAUUAGGGAAUAAUAGCCGCUGAUGCUGAGCAUACACUAAGGUGCCGUUUGGAUGCUGGGUGGGUAUGGGAUAAAGAUAUGUGGUGGCUUAUUAUAAGUUGGUGGGUUUGGAUUAGGGAUAAAAGAUUCUAUUGCCUUUCCCAUGUCUGGAUGCAUUUGGAUUGGGUUUGGGUUAAGUAAUGGAAAAUGCAAAAGAAAAAAAAAGGAAGAUUCACAUCUCCAGAAGUAUGCUGUUGCCCAUCUCUUUGCUUCCAUGGCGAUCACUGCUGACUCCUAUGUAUGCUUGCUGGUAGUCAGUACUACAACUCCUGUGGCGUGACUUGCUAGGGAUGUUGUGUUCGCUGUUCCUUGUGGCGGCAAGUGGCCACAGGUGCGAUACAUUGGACUGACAGGAGUCAGGUAUGGGAUAUGAGCCCCUUUUAUCCCUUAUCCCAAACCCAACUCAUUUCCAUAUCCCUUUUACCAAACAAGGCAAAACAUAUCCUACCCUGCCCAUUUCCUAUUCCCACCUGUUAUACCCCACAAUCCAAAUGCCACCUAAGUGGAUGCAUUCAUGUUCUUCUAGCAUGCAAAUCGUGCACUCAUUACCCAUGCUCAAUGGAAAUGGAAAAACACUAGCUGGUUGAGGUGAAAAGUAGCAAUGGUUGUUUCUUUUGAAAAAAAUCAAAAGUAGAUUAAUCAUUAGCGAUAAGAAAGAGGUUGUUGAGAAAAGGAGUAUGAUAACCACGGGUAAGGAGGAAACCAAUUUUCAAAGCCCCAGGGUACAGGUUCACGAGUCAAGAAGGAGCACGAGUAAGAGCAUAACAGCAAGUGGGCUAAAGAUUCUCUGCAUGUCUGAUAAUUCUGUACGUACUAGGCAUGGCAUGUGGUGAGUUACUAAUUUAAUUACUUAUCUCACCUUCCAGAUCAGUAUACUGAUAUCAUAUUGGGAACCAGAGUAGCUUGAGGUUGGGAAGAUGCUGGCUCCCAUGGCAAUCUGGUUGUUAACCUGAAUGAACCCUGAGCACAGCAUGUUGUAGCACCCUGUUGCCUGGUAUGCAUCACUCUACAAAUGCCACAUGGCGAAACAGUUCAGGAACUGUAAAUGAAAGCAUAAUCUCUCUUCAAAUGUUGCAAUAACGGUAAGAUAGGAUAGGCAGAAUGCUCAAAACUUACAGUCCAGUACGUGAACAGCCUUGUGUUGUUAUCCCCAUAGAGGUCUGGACUAACCUGAUCAAACAGAGAAGCACGGAAGUGAUUCAGAGCUCGUGAUGACAUAUACACAGAUACACUGCAUCGCGGGACAGCAGGGCAACCAACCGCGAAAACGGUGGUGCAUUUACUCGAUGCUGAUUAUGAAUAUGAAGCUCAUGUGCUGUGGGUCUUUUUCUCUCUCUACCUGCCAUCCAGCCUCGAUGCUGUUCAGAUCCUCCCCAAAUGAGCCCCCCAAGAUCCAGAGCUGGGACAAGCUGAACUCGUUAGGCUGCUCGAUCUUGGGCUCCCACACAUUGAUAGUCGCCUUGGCGCCAUAGUACUUGUCUCCCUGAACAUACGCUAUGGCAUGCUGCGAUUGUCAACAACAGUUAUGAGCAUCACGGUACAACAGCACACUUAUGUAGCUUCUUUCUUCCACCCCACAGGUCAUCAACAACAUAGGGGAUGAUACGAGCAGGUACCUGAUGGCCACCCUCGUUGAGCAUGGUGGGGUUGACGGACAUUGGGUUCGCGGUGGUGUGCCGCUUCCUGCCGUACCGCCGCAUUGAGCUUGCCCUGAGCAGGUCGUCCUUCUUCGUUCUCCUGAUGGGGACUGUACCUUCAGGACACAUCCCAUUCUGAUGCCAGAGCUGAACCAUAGGCCUCUCCCCACUGCUGCUGGAGGUCUUGGAUUCGUCGAACAGGCCUUCGGGGUGGUAGUUCGGCCUCAUCUGCAAACCGUAGAAUGCGUUAACUAUGACAUUAUUCCAACAAGACCAAUUCAGUUACUGCACGUUUUCAGCAGGGGAGUUUACCUGGAUUGUGUGAUUCUUGAGGUAGGGGUGAUCAAACGCUGGCUGAUGUGAGAUGUGCACGCAGUCUAUCAUGUCCCCGUCUGGACUCUGCAGAUUUGCAAUUCGCAGCCAGCUGGAUUAGAAUUAGAUGUGCGACUGGAACAGAGAGUUUCCCCGCGAAAGGAUUUAGUUUGACAACUCUCUGAUAAAUUAGUUUCCCCAAGUCAAGCAAGAAAGAACUAAAUACAAGAACAAGCACAAAGCAUGCACACAAAAGAGAAGAUUAGAUUAGACAUAAAGAUAGCAAAUUUCCAAGAACAACCAGAAAAGAAGCCUCAAAAGCUGUCGUCCUCAACGAGUAGUCAAAAGGUAGACACACCCAUCUCCUCGCUUGGGCUUGUUCAAAUGCUCACUAAUGCAGCGUUAGUUUAUCUAUGGAAAAAUCUCCUCAAGAAAAUAUUUUCUCCCCAAGCAAGCAAUUCAAAUCUACCAAGAGUAACAGCAAAACUGCCGGCAUGGCACACACGCACACCUCCGCGGGACGAAAAGCCGGAGGAAACAAGUGGGUUGACGCACCUCGAUACUCUUCACGGCCGGUUUGUUGAGCCGCUUGAGGUGGCGGUGCAGCCUCGCGGCCGGCGACCUCGCGGCGGCGGCGGCGGCGCACGACAAGCAGAUGACCGCCACGAGCAGGCACGCGACCCCCCGCGAGGUGUCCAUGGGCGGCGCCUCCUCCUCAGUCUUGAGACACCUCCACCGCUGCCGCGCCUCCUUUUCCCCUUCCGCUCGCCUCCUCCGGCGAGCUCGCAAAGCAGGGCCUCGCCUCGCUUUACCCCCCAGACACAGAGCCCCCUCGCCGCCGCCGGCGCGGCUGCCACCACACACCAGGGGGCCGAUUCGAGAAUUUUGAAACAAUGCGGGUGCCUGCCUGCGUGGUGAGAGAGUGGGAUUGGGAACGGGAGUAAUGGCAGGCUCGUCGCCUUGGGCGGCUCGUCGCCUCGGUUGGGAGCGGCGCGUGCGUCCACUAGCGCUUGCUGCAGACCACAAACAAGUGGGCACUCAUCAGUGAAGACUGUUGUGAAGCGAGCAGCGCUCUGCACUCUCGCGGCCACUUUUGCCGUUUCCCCAGCUUGUGCUUCUGGACGGAAAUGCCCCUCUAUGAUUCGGGAAUUAUUGUUAGAGGCACCCGGCCUCCAACGUCAAACCGGGGACCCAUGCCCACUGAUAUGUGGGCCUCCAAUGUCUGGAUGUGAUCAGCUGGUAACGGAAAUUCGUCAAUAAUAAAAUAAAGUGAGUCAAAUCCCUUCAAAGGAACCAAUGCUCCAUAACAAUGUACUCCCCCCCCUCCAAGAAAAAAAAUAUGCAAUCCUAGGCCAACAUCACAUUUUAGUAUCUUGAUGAGUUUGAGGAUAAAAAAUAUCAAUUUUAUAUUAAAUAAAUAUUAUUAGAUUAAUUAUGAAAUGUAUUGUCAUAAUAAAUUGAUUUGCUACAGGGUAGGAACUUGGUCAAACGUAAAUUACUUUUACUAGUAUAGAAACCCAUAGGCCUUGUUUAGUUCGCAAAAAAUUUCAAGAUUCCCCGUCACAUCGAAUCUUUGGUCGCAUACAUGGAGCAUUAAAUAUAGACGAAAAUAAAAACUAACUGCACAGUUUACCUAUAAUUUAUGAGAUUAAUCUUUUGAGCCUAGUUACUCCGUGAUUGGACAAUGUUUGUCAAAUAAAAAUGAAAUGCUACAGUAUCCAAAAACAAAAAAAAUUGCGAACUAAACAAGGCCAUAGUUGCAUUCUUUCCUGGAUGGAGGGAGCAGCUCAUAUGAAGUAAAAUUAUAUUUGUCGUUGUGUCUUUAGGACAGUCCUAUUAAACAAACUAAGUACUUAAUAGUAGUAUAUUUACCACCUAAGAAGCUAUAGCUCACAGUGUACAAUGUCCAAGCUAUGGCUAUAAAAAAAAACUCAUCCAGUCAUCUUCCUUUCCCAACGCUCUUUUGUUUUGUCCUAGUAUUUAUAGUGUCCAUUCCGUUUCUUAAUUUAGUUUUUGUUCUUGUGCAAGGCAUAGCUUUUGUAUGAGGCUCAGUUUCUUGAAAUUUUCAUCCCUUCCUCCCCUUGAUGCCAUGGUGAAAUCAGUGAAGUGUGCUGUGUGUCAUCCUAUUAAUUCGGCAUAGAAACUAUUCUGUUCACGAGUGUCUUUAUAAAACACCACCCUAGAUAUAAUCGAUACCUUCUAACUAAUAAGUGUUUAUAUAUUGCAAAAAGGUUUCUAAAAAUAUAGACGUGCACCUUACGGCAGAGAGCAGGCAUUCAAAAAGUUCAUUUUUCUCCUGAGACCGUGUUUUUUUUGACAAGGGUUUGCUGACCGACCAGCACUGCUCGUGUUGAUGCUGUUGGCUGGUCGUGGACUCGUGGGUUGGUAGGAGUAGUAAUUUUCUUUAUCCGGGCUCGUGUCGGGUCCUAGGUUGGCCCACCCGCCAGCUUUGCCCGCCCAUCCGGCACCACCUCGGGCCCGGCGGCAGGGCAAACGUCCGUCGGCUUCCGCCCAGCCCAGGGCCGACCCGUCACCCUGCGCGGCACUUGCGCCCCCGCCCAGCAAAGAGAGCCGCGAGCCACGAGGCCGGCGGGCCAUGCCUGGCAGCGGCUCAACGCAUGCGCGUGAUGAGGGUCACGCACCGCUGCGGAGCGCACGCAUUGGAUCCGGGCCGGGCCGGGCCGGGCGCACGCACGCGCAAAGCGGAGGGGGCUUUUGCUUAACAUAACACCGGCCGCUUUACGAAAGGCGACGCCGUUAACAAAGUGAUUAUUUUUACCACGACGUCCUCUGCAUGCACAAAGCCGGCGAAAGGAGCACCAACAGCAGGCAGACCGAGAUUUUUACCCGCGAGAUUUGUCUAAUUCCUACCGGCAGUACACUUCGGUGUUAGCUAGGGUUCCAGUCAGAAGCCGGCAAAACGCCCGUACGAACGAGCCCGGGAAACCGUGUACGACGGCUCCAGACGUACAUCGGUUGGAUGUUUUCGGUUUUGGUACGGCGCCGCGCCGGUAAUUAUAGUACUCCAUAGUAGAUUAAUUAUACUCCAUAAUAUUAAAUAUUCUAUGGAUACGUCGAAAUAUUCAAUGUGAUAGGAAAUCUUGAAAACUUUUAAGAAGUAAACAAGGUCUUAUAUCAGUUUGGUUUUUGAGGAAUUAUUUAGUUUGUUAGCACGGCGGGAUCGGAGCAAGCAGACAGCAUUGUCGUGGCAUGCAUGCAUUUUAGCAUUUGAUUCACCCACAAGCUGCGACAAGCAGAUGGGAUCCAACCUGACGAGAAAGCCGUCGCUUUUGCUCAUGCGCAAGCGCAAAACACUUGAAAGACACCUUUCUCUCUUCUUUGUUGCUUUUCUUUGAUGCUUCUUCUAUUAUUUCCGAACGAGAGAAUGGAAAGGCAGUUCGUAAAGGCCACUGAGAUGCCCUAUGUAUGUAAUUAUAAAAUGGUCACUUCCAACUACAACAACCGAAUCAUGCCUUGUCCUAUCUCUAUCACUCGCUUUGUCACUCACACUACCACCGACGCACUAGUAGACUGUACACGUAGCUUGUGUGGCACAACAAAUGAGGGUCCCUAUUGUGUUUGGUUACUAGCAGCUUUAUGUUGUUGAAUUAAAUGAAUAAAAUGCUAUUUGCCAAAAAAACGAACCUCUACCCUGCCCUUACCAACGGUAUGUAGUUGUAUGAGAUGAGCUGACUUGUUUAGUUCGUAAAAAUUUUCAAGAUUCUCUGUCACAUCGAAUCUUUGGUCGCAUGUAUGAAACACUAAAUAUAGAUAAAAAUAAAAGCUAAUUGCACAGUUUAAAUGUAAUUUGUGAGAUGAAUCUUUUGAGCCUGCUUACUCUGUGAUUGAAUAAUGUUUGUCAAAUAAAAACAAAAGUGCUACGGUAGCCAAAAACCAAAGUUUUUGCGAACUAAACAAGGCAUAUUUGUGCUUUAGACGUGUGGGAGAGUGUCCGGCUCAGGUUCCACCACCCACUGUAGCAAAAAGCGAUUUUUUUCAAAAACUAUAGAUGCCAAAAAGAUAAACUGGGAAUCAAUAAAGCUAUUAUUUUUAGUUUCGUCAGUCUUGAUUCUUCCACGUACAUGUCUGGCAGAAGAGUAAAUCCAUUUGAAGCUAUGCCAAAUGGAGCCAUGUAUGAUGGUGUCCGUUCGACAAGGCAUCAGACUGAAACCAAUCCCUUCGCGUUAGUACGUAGAUGCAAUCAUGCAAAGACUUUGGUAACACGGUUUUCUUCUCUACUAAAAACUCCUUCGGAAAAGUCCAGGAAUUAAAUUCUUGGUAAAUUCAGGGAUAUACUACUAUGGCUUCAUUGUACGACACUACGACGAUAUGGACAGAGAACAGCAGAGCGUGCGAGUGCACAUGCUGGAGACGAGGAAGUCACACCACGUGAGCUGAUGGCGCGAAGAACACGAGGCGAGAGAGAGCGAGAGUUUUGGGCCGGGGCACAAUCGAAGGUUAGUUCGGAAAAAAUUUCGCAUUUCGCUAUUAUAAUAUUUUUAUUUUUAUUUGAUAAAUAUUAUUUAAUUAUGAAUUAACUAUGAUCAAAAGAUUCGUCUCGCGAUUUACAGACAGACUGUAUAAUUAAUUUUUGUUUUCGUCUAUAUUUAAUGCUUCAUGCAUGUGCUGCAAGAUUUGAUGUGACGGAGAAUAUUGAAAACUUUUUGGAUUUCGGAGUGAACUGGGCCUUGUUUAGUUCCCAAAAUUUUUGCAAAAUGUGAACAGUACCAAUUUCGUUUGUAUUUGACAAAUAUUGUCCAAUCAUGGACUAACUAGGCUCAAAAGAUUCGUCUCAUUAAUUUCGAUCAAAAUGUGUAAUUAGUUUUUAUUUUUCAUCUAUAUUUAAUACUUCAUGCAUACGUCUAAAGAUUCGAUGUGACGGAGAAUCUGAAAAUUUUUGCAAAAUUUAUAGGGAACUAAACAAGGCCUAAACAAAGCCCACGAGCCGUUAUCACAUGGUCUCGCUGUUGUCACUGAAUCAGUGAUAGAGGAGCAGAGCUGGCAGGUUCAUUUGUCCACUUGUAUACGCUGAAAGGCAAACAAAAAACACACGGGCUUUAUAUGAUCGUACUGUACUGGAUUCUUUUGUUUAGGCUUUGUUUAGUUUUCAAAUUUUUUUGAUUUUGGGUAAUGUAGCGGAGAAUUUGAAAAGUUUUUUUUAUUUUUGGGUUGAACUAAACAACUCUACUUGAUUUGAUACGUGACUCAGACAUCAGUCGUGUUCGAGCAGUUGAAACAGCCGCUCACAGCUGCUGCCAUUAGAGUGUUGUCUGAACAGUUGAAAGUGGCUAAUCAAGCAAGCUGUGAGCCAUUAGAGUGUGCUGCCAUACAUGAUGCAUGGAUGUCUAAUUAAUGUCUUUGACAGUUGACACAGAUGUUUAGUUUCGUUUCCUUUCCUAAUCAAGCAAGCUGGAAGCCACUGUCGAGAGUCGAAUUUACACACACAGUCAACCUCACGUAUUCAUUCCGAUCUUAUCACGUCCAAUAAUAUCCUCUACCCACGCAAACAUUCCAGCUGAAAGAAACAGAUCACCUACCGAUGCAAAGAACAUGCAUGCGUGCAUGAUGAGGUCACUCCACUCUGUUCUCCUGCCCUAGUUUCAAAGCACCCUUUCUUCGACUUUCGAGAGAAACAAAAACGGGUGUUUGGCCUCCUGAUAUUUUUUAACUCCCAUUAAAUUAAAUAUUUUAACACAUGUAUAAAUUACUAAAUAUACACUAUUUAUAAAACUUAAAAUACAACUAGAAAAUAAUUGCGAGUAGAAUUUUUAAAGUCUAAUUAGUCUAUAAUUAGAUACUAAUUAUCAAAUAAAACAAAAAAAUUACGAUAACUAUUAUAUUUUAAUAUCACCCACUAAAGUCUAAAGACCCUCUAACUGUGGUCGUCUAGCACUAGCAGGCUCUGCUUACUCCUGUUUCAGAGCUUUUCUUUCCUGUGGUGUGUGUGUAUGCAGAACAGAAUGAUGGCCCGUGCCUGCCUUGUACCACCGCACCGGCAGCACGAGCAUAGCAGCAUGGCCGUCGGUGGAGACGGUGGGGGUACUCGGGAAGGUCGACCGCACGGAAUUUUUAACCUGCAAUGCAAGCAAUGUUCGUGUUCCCGUACUCGAGGAACAAGCGGCGUGAACUCGACACAUGGCUGAUCUGCCACGCACGUAUACAUACGGCUCUAUACCUGGGACCGUAUAGUAUAGGUGUCGCGGUACGGUGUCACCACCAACCUGAACUUGGGUCGGAGCCUCUCAUCGUACAAUUUCAAAAUAAAGCCCAGUGUGAAAAAAAAUCCUUCGCGUUAAAUAACCGCUUCAAUCGCGCACUCCUCCUUCCAUUCCAAACUAGUAUAAAAUAAUUUGAUUUUUUUCUAGACACAUAGUUGUUCCUAUAUGUAUUUAGGUAUACAGUGUAUCUAGCUAGAUACGUACGCAGUAGUAAAGAAAUAUACCCAAAAAAGUUCAAAACAUCUACUGUAGAAUCUAGUACCCAUAAUUCUUCAGAAGGAUGCAAACAAAGGGAAGCUAGGGAAGAUCAGAGAGCUAGCUGAAUGCCUAAUAGCAGGAAGGUUAUCACUGCAUCACAAAUUAAAUUAACUGUGUGUAAAUAAAAGAACCAAACAGUCCUGCCACAAGGCACGGAACGGCACUAGUGUACGUACCAUGGUUCUAUCGAUCAUCUCGCUUGCCCGUGAAGCAACAACAUGCCGAGGGCUACUUCGAUUCAUCGGUGCUCUAAGUCUAUAGGUUUCAUUUCAUUUCCAAGCUAACGCCUUGUUUAGUUCCGAAAAGUGAAAAGUUUUCGGUACUGUAGCACUUUCGUUUGUUUGUGACAAAUAUUAUUCAAUUAUGGACUAACUAGAAUCAAAAGAUUCAUCUCGUGAUUUACAGCUAAACUGUGUAAUUAGUUUUUAUUUUCGUCUAUAUUUAAUGUUUCAUGCAUGUGACAUAAGAUUUGAUGUGACGGAGAAUCUUGAAAACUUUUUGGUUUUCAGAGUGAACUAAACAUGGCCUAAGCAGGAUUUAGUGGUGCCCUAGUACGAUAGUACCACACCUCACCUCCAUGGCUCCAUGGCCACCGGCGAGCACACGGGCCCAUGGGGCCCGCGUGUGUGUUCACGGUUCACGAGCCCACUCAUGUGCCGAAGGCUGCCGGUUGUUGCGCCGCCCACGGAGAGCCACACACUCACAGAUGACACUUUUGGACUUGUUGGGGACUGCAUGCCUGAGCCAUAAUGAGAGCAACAUUUCAGCUGUAGCAAAUAUAAUCGCUUGUUUUAUUUUUUUUUGUUUUUUAUUUUUUUAUUAUCUGUAAAUGUUUAGGCACGGAUCCAUGCAUGCGUGUGUGGAGACCAGUAUAGCAUGGAGAAUCGUUGAGAGGCCUGACCUUGACCCGUAUACAGUAGCAAAGAAAUGUUUGUAACAUUAGCCUUGUUUAGUUCUGAAAAGAUUUCGGAUUUCGCUACUGUAGCACUUUCGUUUUUAUUUAACAAAUAUUAUCCAACCAUGAACUAACUAAGAUCAAAAGAUUCGUGUCGCGAUUUACAGAUAAACUGUGUAAUUAGUUUUUAUUUUCGUCUAUAUUUAAUGCUUCAUACAUGUGCCGCAAGAUUCGAUGUGACAGGAAAUCUUGAAAACUUUUUAGAUUUCGGGAUGAACUAAACAAGGCCUUUAUUCAUCAGCCUGCCUCAGGCUACUUGCAAAAUCAUUGACCAUGAUAUAUAAUUGGUCACUGUGUCUGCAUAAAAGGAUGAAACAUUUUCACUGUACCUCGCAGUCGCAGAGAGACAGAAGCACAGAAAGCACGUGCACGAUGUCAUAGGAUAAGGUCCCCCCUCUUCCAUUUGUCUCUCUCCAGCGUACACCUUGGACCUUGGAGGCUUUGGACCUUGCAUCGACCACUACUUGCCCAUACAAAUGCCUGACAAGGGGAGACAGAGUUUCCAUGAGGACCAAGCAUGUAUUAGUAGUAUUUUUUUUUAUGAAACCAUGUAUUAGUAGUAUUACCACUAGACGAUAGACAUCAACCAACUUAGAGCAGUGCAGAUUAUAAAGUUAUUAUAACACCAAAAUAUACAAUUGUCUGGUCACCAUAAGCAUAAGCAUUGUUGGUGUUCUGGCUAGAAAGAAUCACCUCCCUGAAGGAAGCACGUUGAUAAUUUCUGCUUCUCCUUGUCACGGUGAAACUUGUGUUAGAAUGGUGUAAUUCAGCGAUUCUUGUCACUUGCACAAGCGCUGUUGUGCAAUAGUUUGGUACUUGGUAGGUAGGAUGCAGUGCUGUGAAAACUGUCAAUGUGUGUUGAACGCACGUUCCAGGACGCGGAACGUGACACCGUGAUCGUCUCCUUCAGGCUUCAGCAGCGGCGCACCACUGCACGAUCCCCCCGAGCACGGAGCACCUAACUCCGCCAUGGUCCAACUGAAGCGGAGGCUAUUCUACUGCACAGACUACAGACCUGCAGAUGCAAAUGGAGCCACGUGGAAAAGCAUUAGAUUUCAUUGGAGAAUCGCUGGGGGUUCUUAUGACACUGGAGCUGCGAGAUUUUUAAAUCGGUGUUUUCAAAUGCAACCUCCCAAAUUCGUCUUAAAAAAUCAGUUAUACAUAGUCUUUACCGCCUACACUACAGGUUCGCAACGUCAUUUUCUAGCAAAAUACACUACUUAUUUGCAAAAACAGUACUGGUAAUUCGGAUGCAACGGGGAGAACAUAAGCUGCCUGAGAUUCAAAGAGCUGCGAACCGCCACAUCAAAUGUGAACCAUGAGGCUUUAUACGUCCCAACAACAAUUUUACAUCCAUGUAUGGGCCAAUGUGGGGGAAAAAAUACUGUGAAACAAUGCAAUGCACGUUGGCUGAUCUGAAUGGUUAGCAUAGAGCUAACCGGGCGACAGUAACAAAACAACUGUCAUCGAUCGACAACAGACUCCAAAAUCACUGAAACAAACACUGGCUGGAGCAGCCUCUUCUUUCUGCUUCGGUUGCCAAAUAUCCCCCCGAGAUUAUACACACAUGGCAAAUGUAAUAUAGCUGACUCAGCUUUGAUCUUCGUAGUGUGACGUCAUUCAUUUACACAUUUCACCUCUUCAUGAGAACCUGCAAGUUUCAGUUGGGUUAACAAUUACCAAGAGCAGCAAUAACUUUAAAACACAUGCAUUUUUUUUUAGAAAAAAUACAGGACUUGAAUAAUAAUAUUUCCUGAGAAACCAUAUCCUUUUGGAGAUUAUUCCAGAGCCAUCUACUCCCAACACCAUAAACUUGAACGAAUUAAGUGUAAUGCCAAGCGAAUUCUGCGAAUAUUUGAUCUAAAAAAAUUACAGUUUUCUUUGAUUGUUGUGAGUAUGCCAAAAGAAAAUGAAGGUAAACUUAAUGUGGUUGCAACAAGUUCUUCAGCCACAGUUCAACUCAUAUGAAACUAGGUUGCCAGCCUAUUAGUAACUUCAAACAUCAACAAUGGGCCAGACAAAAUUCACAUUCCAAUUCUCAGGAGCUAAUAUUGGACAACAACUGGAUGGAUAAGUGAAAAAACCUAUGCCCCUUUCUAAAUCUGAAAAGUGUAUCUAGUAGACAGAAAACUGUCAUGAUGAUUACAUGUUCCAAGCAAACCAUCUAAAAAGAAUGAGGGAUGCUUGAAUAGCUGUAAGCAGCUUCAAAUUGGCACAUUUGACCUGCUGAACUUCUUUCUCGGGCAAGUAUCUACCAGCAGAUCUAAAUUACUACCUGUCACUCUUUUUUCUGCAAGGUGUAUUUUGUUUUGUUAGGAAAAGAAUUCAAAGAGCAAUUACUAUAUUGAUAUUUUAUUUAUGAGAUAAAAAUUAUAAUCAUAAGCAAGAUUUUUUUUAAUACAUGACCCUAAUGACAUCAACUGUGUCAAAAAAAACAUGUCUUAAAGAAGUAAUCAGUAGUCAAAAGCUUCUAAAUGAAAUUGUAAUUUCACACAGAGGGAAUACAUGAUUUCAUCAUGCAGUGUUCCAGUGACAGUAUAUUUCUUCCUAACGCAUUAUGAUAUACCAGGAGCUAAAACAGAGAAUAAUCAGUCGAAGAUCCAAAAGAAAUGAAGGAAUAAAACUGUGCAGAAUAAUUUAAAAGCUAGCUAAUAUAUGUACACCUCUACUUUGGAUCAUUAACAAAUAGGUACUGCUGACAACUACACGACCGGUUGGACACGUAUUGUCAGGUUUAGCUAACAGGUACCAGUGAAUUAGUCCCAUCAAAGGAACAUCAAAUAGACACUAAGAUGAACAAAUGGAUCAAUAUUAACCUGAUCACAAUGCCAUUUCCGCUUGCAGUGCAGCAAGCUCAUCAUCUUCAGCUGUAGCUUUCUGUGGAGCAGGGCGAGCUGGUUGCUUGUUGGCUGGUACAUGCACUGGAUGCAUCGGAGGAGCUGCAACAGGCUCCAGAAGCUGAGAUUCCAACUCUGCUCCCUCCAGUUCUUCAAGUUCCGCCUCCAGUUCAUCCUGUAAGUUUUUAAAGUGGUAAGUGUGUCAGAGAAAACUAUGCACUGCUAGAUUGCAAAUCUUAAAUGUCUACAGUGAAUUACCUCGUCAAAAUCAGCAGCAGCUCCAAGAGGAGCUGACAAAGCAUCCUGAAUUUGUUUCAUAUUUUCAGUCUGUUCGUUAAUUUCAUCCAUGGUCUUGUCGACAUCAUCAAUGUUUCUGCAAGGACAUGUUAAAUAAUCAUUUUAAGACCUUGAACGACUAGGUGUGCAAAUCCUAAAAUGGACUCAAAAUAAAUACUAACGUCGCCUUUUGCAUUGCUUUCAUAGCAGCAGCUCCAGUUCUCAAUGCAUCAACAGUCUCUGUUGUAGCUUUAGCUGCUUCUAACAUGAUCAUCUGUAUAAAAAAUGGGUUACACAGUUAACACACAUAACAUACAGUAAACAAAAAGCUCAAUGUUUGAGUGCAAAUAUACCUGAUCAUGGAUUCUCAACUGAAAAUUUCCAAGCUGCUCAAUUUGUUGCUCAUAAAGUUUUUUCCUCUUCAAGGCUUGGAUAGCCGCUGUUAAGAGGAAGUUUAUUUGUAUUAGCACAAGUUUCUAUAAAUCCAGUCUCCAUUGCAUAAGGAAGGAAGUUGGUAGCAUUUGAAUAUGAUCAAUAUUAGUUUACAUGGAAGCCAAAAAGAGGAAAAAUAAAGUGAACAUAAGCUGUAUUAGCUAAUAAUGCAUGAUCAUGAGGUCUUCAGGUAAAAGAUGUUGAAAAUUGCACCACAAAUAAUGGACCAUGGAAUUUGCAUUCUACGUGGAUCUAUUACAUUGCAGGUGCAUACAAACCUAAAUUCAUUUUGAUAAAAUACUACGUCAACAUUGUGACACAAUACUAACAAUUACAAGCACAAUAACUGUGUCAAAGGAAAAUAGGAAAUACCAGCAUAAUUGUAGAUCCAAUGCACCAUGCCCAAAGAAAUUUAUAUACACAAAUAUGAUGGAUAAGCCUAAAUUCAUUUUGAUAAAAUACCAUGUCAACAUUGUGACACAACGCUAACAAUUAUAAGCACAAUAGCUAUGUCAAAGGAAAUGCCCAUAUAAUUGUUGAUCCAAUGCACCAAAGAAAUUUAUAUACACAAAAAUGAUGGAUAAGCCUAAAUUCAUUUUGAUAAAAUAUUAUGUCAACAUGGUGGCACCACACUAAAAAUGAUAAGCAUAAUAACUGUGCCAAAAGAAAUGCCCACAUAAUUGUUGAUCCAAUGCACCACGCACCAAAGAAAUUUAUAUGCACAAAUACACAAAUAUGAUGGAUAAGCUCGGAGUGCAGCAUGUGCACCGAGGAAAUUCAGAUUAUAUUACAAAAAGCAUGUCACCUCCAAUCGUACCGCCAGAGCACAAGCAUACAUUUCAAACUGCACUAUUGCGGUUUACCAUACCUCUUUUAUUCUUUGCUUUUGAGAACUCCUUGGCUCUCUCAAGCUCAGCGGCUGCUUUCUUCUCCAGCACCUUUUCUUUCUUCUCGAGCAUAUCAAGUGUCUGGAUAUAAAUAAAGUGAGAUUUUAGAACUUUCUAUGUUACUAUGGCAUAGAAAUUACAUGCGCCAAGUUGGAAGCUAUAACAAAAGCAUAUAGUUCACUAGUUGACUAAACAUACGCAAAGAGUUAAUGGUAAUGAUCCCUUCCUAAUAGUAAUAGGUAGAAUGUUAGAACUUCAGGAGCAAAUAUAGAAAAUCAAAGAAUAGAUGGAGCUUAUGCCACGGGAAGAACUUAAGCAUCCCAUAAGUUGAGAUGAAUUUAACAGCAUGUGAGAGUUCCAAGACACUAAAGUAGAAGGGUGGGAAUUUUUGUCGUGCACAUGCAUGAGGCAUGAUAAGGCAACAAGUGAUGUUAUAUUUUGGUUAAACCUUAUGAUAACAGUUCAAUACAAAAUGAUGGGUGCUCUGAGGUCGCGAAUAUAUUUAGGCAGCCAAAAUAAGAAAACAUCAAUAAAGAAGAACACCUUAAUGGAAUGGAAGUAACACGGUAAUCAUACGCCCGGAAAUAAUAAAUAAAGAAGACAGAAAGGUCACCUCAUUUAACUUGUCCAGAGUAGCCAAAGCAUUGGAGUUGGCCUGCUCCUUGGGCUUCCCGAAGAUCCUAUUGAACAUGGACAUGGCUACAACACUCGCAACAGAAACUCAACAACACCUGCGAUAAUUUUUGCCAAGCAAUCGAAGUUAGAAGGCAUAAUACGUGCACAUACACUUGUAACUAGGUUCAGAUCCGAAUACAAAUAGUAGUAUGUUAGGGUUCGAGCGCGCGGUUUCGCACAGCAGGAAGGGAAGGGAAGACCAAGGAGAGGGCGUCCCUAUGGAUUACGUUAAGGUUUGGGCGCACGGCUUCGCACAGCAGGAAGGGAAAACCGAGGGGAGGGGGCAUACCUGGUGGUGCUCGUCGCCGGCGAAGGUGGCGAAGCCGGGCGGCAGCGACGGCCGGCCCAGUCGUCGUCGGUGGGUGCGGGUUGCGCGCACGCUUGGGAAGUUGGGGGGGCUUGGGGCCUCGUCCGGUGCUGUGGUGGGCUUAGAUGGGCCGCUUGACUGCCCCGUCCGUCCCUCCCUGAGCUGGUCCCUUCUUCGAUGGUAUGAUAGUGAACGGCCCGGAUGCAGCGACUGCAGGGAGACGUCGACACGGCCGACGUCGGGUGAUUUUUUUUUUAUUCCGAAAAUGACAAGGGCGAUGGUUCCAUCUCCGUAGCAAGUAAUCCAGCAGCAUUGAUCACCUGCUUUUAAGCUGCGUUUUCAGUAAUGUUGGCAAUGGAUAAAUCCCCAUCGGGUAUGAACUCCCCAGACCCAUUCCCGUGACAACAAUAUAACACCACGGGUAUCCCCAUAUACAUUGAUGGGUAGGGGAAUUUCCCCAGACCCAUACCCGGGUGGGUAAAUUAGAUCCGGCGGGUCACCCAUACCCGCCAAACAUCAGCAAUUCACAAGCAUCAGUCACGUAGUAGCAAUUCACAAGCAUCGUCACAUAGCUAUUCACAAGCAUCGUCACAUAGCCAUUCACAAGCAUCGUCACAUAGCCACCUCACCAUAUACCUAGCAAAUAGCAACAUAAUAAUUUCUGCUGCAACCACUGGUCACAACACCAUAAUAGUUCAUUGUCCAUACAAAUCACAUAGUAGAGAGUAGUACUUUGCUAGCACUAUAUAGGGUUUCAGUGUAUGGGCUACCGGUGGACUGGUGGCUGGUGGGCUUCUUUAGUUUUGGGUUGGGUAUUUUUCACCCAUGGGUAAAUGGAAAUGGGGACUACUAGAACGUCCCCAUACCCACGUACCCAAUGAGUGAAGGGUUUGCUCCGUUUGUAUACCCAUAGGUACUGGUCUCACUGCAUAUUGGUACCAUAAUAGAGUAAAUACCCAUCGGGUCACGGGCCCCAUUGACAUCUUUAGUUUUCAGGCUGGACCUUGCUCCUCAGAAGCACACCUGGCUGCAGUCCAGGAAAUCAUUGGGACCUGGCAGGGUUCAGACAGCUAUAUAUGUCGCUUGCUACCGUCAUCGCCAAAACAUUGUAUUUUCAUAGUACAGGCGUGUGCUUUGUGGUGUCUGUGUGUUUGUGUGCUGGUCUGUAAUUUUCAAAUCUCUUUCUUCUCUUAAUAAAAUACGUACCUCGUGGCACGGUCGAGAAAAAAUAACCUCUGUAAAAACUACAAAGUGCAGCUGGAAAAAAAAAAGUAAGAAAUGCAUUCUGUUAUUACUUCCAUGUAUCACAAGGUCAUAAAUAAAAUGGGCGUCCAUCCAGAAACGCUCAAAGAGCAAGUAAGAAUAAGAUCACCCGCCCACAUCACAGCCAGCCUCAUCUAGGGUCAUUGUUGCAGAACCACGUUAAACUUAAACAUGAAAUGGCACCGUACCUGUUAAAUUCCCAGGACAUGCCUCCUCCCAACUAAUGGAAAACGGGUUAAAAAAAACCGUGGAGGUGCCAAUGCAUUCUUAUUAUAAUUUAUUACAAAAUUGGUUACUUUUGUACGGGCUAACGAUCAAGCAGCAGAGCUCGCGUUGCAUCUAAUUGUUCUCUUGAGCGGUUUUCGCCCCCAAAGAAUUCUUCAAAACACGUAAUUGCCUCCUUUCAUUUACAAUAGCAGUCUCCUAAUGUCACUGAAAUUCAGCGCCAGCUCCGUGAAAAACUUGCCUGCUCCCCAGUACAGUGCAAAAAAAAUGUGAUUAAAUUGUGAAAUAGUACAGUCCAAAAGGGAAUGAAGAGACAAAAACAAAGCAAGAAAUGAGAUGCACACCUCCUACUUGCCCAUCAAAAACACGAUGGUCAGCAGAUAGUGUCAAGCUCAUCUUUGUAACCGCAGCAGCCUUCUCUGUUCCUGUACAAAGUUACAUGAGUUAAAAAAAAUGUGUGCAAUUGUUAUGAGCAGGAAGGCAGUCUGUCAAGAAAAUAUACCAUCGCUGUCCACAACAGGUUCAACAACCUUGUUUCCUCUACCGACUGCGAGAAUGCCAGACUGACAGAAAGAAAUGAAGAAUAGGAAUCGUCAGUACAAUUUCGAAGGAUCCCAUUACUAGGGAAAUAGGGAAGCAAACAUGUGUGAGGAGGGACCUGUGGAGGGUUAAUGAUUGCACAGAAAUGGUCCACAGGGUACAUUCCAAGAUUCGAGAUACUGCAUAAGAACAAGUCAUAAAAUGUUAAAAUAUGGAAUUUCAACGAUGGAAAGAAUUCCCUGAAGAACAAUGGUAAACAGGCACAAGUUGCUUGCCUGAAAGUUCCCCCUUGAAAUUCGUUAGGUGCAAGCUUCCCAGCUCUUGCCUUUUCAGCCAGCUGCUUAACCUGAGUGAUUAUGAAUGACUCAAAAUCAUUGAAAAUAGAAAUUGUUCUACACACAGAAAGGCUGAUUUCUGAUAGAAUUGUAGACCAUAAAACUGUGCAAUUUUAGUGAUUUCUUCUGCGAGCAGCAAACUUGAUGGUUGUCGAUGGCAAGGAGCCAAGAAUUACAUGCUCAAAAACAAAAACUGCCUGAGCAUCCUGGAAUACAAACAUCUGCUGAACUUUGACAACAUUAUCUUACCUCUGAGGAUAUUGCAGAUAUAGUCUUUUGAUCCGCAUUUCUUACUAUUGGGGUCAUCAGGCCCUGGAAUAGCAAAGACCAUCAUCAGGCACUGAAGGUACACUAAUACUCCCUCCGUUCCAAAUUAUAAGUCAUUCCAAGAAUCUUGGAGAGUCAAAGCAUUUUUAAGUUUGACCAAAAAUAUAGAGAGAAAUAUAAAGAUUUAUGUCAUAAAAUAGGUACACUAUGAAAAUAUAACUAACAAAGAAUCUAAUGAUACUUGGUUGGUACCAAAAAUGUUAUUAUUUUGCUAUAUAAAUUUGGUCAAAUUUGAAAAACUUUGAAUGUCCAAGAUUCUUGGAAUGACUUAUAAUUUGGGACGGAGGGAGUAAUUACUUCCAUGGAGUGUGGACUCUAGAAUCAUACCUUCUCUGUAGCAACGGCAAUAGAUAUAUCAACUGAAUCACACUUUUGGGUUUCUUCCUUCUCAUUGUUCCAGUAAGCUGGCAAUAGAUGCAAAUACAUAAAAUCUUCAAAAGUGGAGACUGAAGAGAGCUACACAUACUGGUCUAAACAAGCAAAGCAUACAGAAACCAGCAUGUUUACCGAAUGGUUUCAAUCAAUUCAGCUAUACUACAAAACAAAAGAAAAAAAAAGGGAAAAGAAAGGACACGUAGCUGGCUUUCUAAGUAAACAGGGCAGGGAAAAACUACUACUAGCAUGAUUCUAGUUAGGAUUCGCCAAAACAUGUCAGACAGCAAUAGACAUGGCUGCUUUCCACUAGUACUAUGCUUGCCAAGUGCCAAUAUACAUUUUAACUAUGACUCCUUCUAUAGAAGCUGGAGUAUUCCUAUAGGAGUAGCCAGGACAUGGGUGCUGGACCUGGGGUUCCAAUAAGAUAGCCUAAGGCUUGUACUGUUGUACAAGACAUAAGCUUACAACGAGUCAUGGUCCAACCACUCAAACUGACUCCUCAGUGAACAGAAAGCACAAGCAGGUUGGUAUCUUAUUUUAAUAUAAUGGCACAAAUCCUAGCACCCUGAAAAGAAAAACUCAGCACAGCCCCAUCGUGUCGAUGAUCAAAUUCAGCUUAUGGGAAUUCUAUACCAUAUGUUAGUCUAAUGUAAAACUUGCUUAGAUUCAACAGUUUGAGCUGGAACUAGCUCAUAGUAUUCCACUGCAACAUAUAAAUGUUCAAACUACCAUCUUGGUUGCAAAAUCAGCGUGGGCUGUGCAAUCAAAAUGAGAAUGAAUCAUGGUAUGAGGCAGUCUUGGGAUGCUACUACUGCUAGCUUUCUAAAGAGAACGCUACCAUGUACUUAAGGGUAGCAGUAGCACACAAUUAACUUCCCAAUUUAAGACAGAAAAUCCCUCAAAAGUUCCUCAGAAAGGUCAUUGUGGAAUUCUUAUGUAUACACCAAGCAGGAUUUGUGAUUCAUACAUCUGACAAAUAAAUAAUUCUAGUUCCAUGCCUCAGGAAAAAAAAACAUUGGAAUUUGAUGGUUAUUUUGUUAUUUUGAAAUUACCAUUUGCUUCAGGGACGUUCCGCAAGGCAAUUGCCACAGCCUUUAUGAUGAUAUCAUUUACUGAAACUUUAAUGCCAUGUUGCUCUGCAAUGAAUGAAGUCAUGAGCAAAGAAGACCUUUCGUGUUAUCUUGAAAAUAAAAAAGUUAUUUGAUUACUGAAAAUUAUAUCAGAUAAAAGAAGAUAUAUAACACACCUUUUAGUUCAUUCCUGAAAGCAAGCAAGGGAUCCAGCACAACAUCUGACAACAAUGUAAAACAUAUCAUCGUGCUACAAUAUUAUGAAAAUAACAUGUGCAUGGAAUGAAAUAUGAAUACAAACCUUUGGAUAGAUACAAAUGUGGAGUCGUCUGUUUUGAUUCGAGCAACCUUUUUGCAAUGACCUGCAUGAUAAGAAAAAAUGUUUGCACUGCUGAAACAUGGACCUCAUACAUUAUACUUUAUUCAAGAAAAGGAUUCGUAGAUGAAGAUGAUACAUUAUAACAUUGUAAUGCACAGACCUAACUGAGUUCACUUUUCAUGAAAGACAGUUCUUUACUACUCCCUCCAUCCCAAAUUAUAAGUCAUUCCAAGAAUCUUGGAGAGUCACAACAUCUCAAGUUUGACCAAAUUUAUAUGAUAGGAUAAUAACAUUUAUGACACCAACUAAGUAUCAUUAGAUUCUUCAUUAAUUAUAUUUUCAUAGUAUAUCUAUUUGAUGUCAUAAUUCUUUGUAAUUUUUUCUAUAAUUUUGGUCAAACUUGAGAUACUUUGAUUCUCCAAGAUUCUUGGAAUGACUUGUAUUUGGGAUGGAGGGAGUAGUAGCAAGAUCUACUAGACACAAAAAUGGAUGAUAUUGGCUAUAAACUGGUACAGCACAUUUGCAGAACCCAUCCCCAACGAACAGUUAUAUGUGCUUGAACUCCUAUGACUAGUUCACAGGUUGAAGCUCCUGAUAUUAAUCCAAAAUACUAUGCAAACAAAACAUGAAGUUCAUCAAUAAUCUGUUUCAUUGUGUGAAACUCUCGACCAUGCUACAAUCCAUAUAGCUAGGGACAAGAUCACAAGACAGAGGGAGCUCGUGUGGUCAAUAUUUCUUUCAGUGUCAAAAGAUUCUGUACUUUAACAAACUAUGACUGGAGAAUGAAGCAAGCCUUACAAGGAAAUGAAAGCCAGGUCACACAUCGCACAUAAUCAAAUACAGUGGAAGUGCAUGGGAUGAUGAGUGGAGCCAGUCACUGCAACUUCAAGAAGGGAUAGCACAUCUGCACAUGUGUGGACUAAGGUCCUACUACUUCAAGGUGUCUUGACCCUUGAGCUUAAGGCUGCUUGAAGCUGAAGUGCACAAAGUUAAUUGAGUUCUUUAGCUUUUUAGGAGUUCCUUUUUAUUAAGAUUUCAAAGCAUCCAAAACAAGCUUCUAGGAGAAAUAGACUUCUAGAGGAAACAAAGCCUGCAAAUGAGCAAGGCGUAAAUGUGGGAGCUGAGUUUUAGCCAAUACUGAUGUUUUAAAAGACUCAAUAAAAGCAAAUAUCAUGCAGCACUUGAAAAAAAAACAACUAAACUUAGGGCGUGUUUGGAUAUGUGUGCGUGUUGCGCUCCGCAAGGACAUGAGAAAAUCCCAUCAAAUGACCUUCAGUUGUGCGUUUCCAUGCCACACAAGUGCAAAAGCCCAAGAGGCAAGAAAUUCAACACUUUCCCAAGACUUGCUUCUACAGGGAGAAGCGCUACCCCAAGACAAGUAUCCAAACAGGGCCUAGACUGACCUCAGAUGCUAGUUAUUGAGUUUACCAUGUGCUUAAGGUAACAUAAGAGAAAACGAUCAUAAUAUCUACUGAAAUCAAUAAAGUCAAACACGGUACCUUGCGUAUCUGACUAUUUGGAAUAUCUUCAUAUGUAUCAGCCUUUUGUGAAACAGGGGAUGCUUGAGCUUGGGAAUCUCGAGUUGGCUGAGAUGAAGGUUGAGCUGGAGCUUUCUUUUCUUUGAUUGAACUUGAACUGACACCUGACUUCAAUGCCGCCAGAACAUCCCCUUUCAGAAGGGUGCCACGGGGGCCUGUUGCUCUCAGGGAUGACGUAUCCAGUCCAUGUUCCUUGAUCAGUAACUUAGCUGCUGGGCUGAUCCGGCUCACUGUUGAGGUUUGUUCAGGCACAUUAACUACUUUAUUUUGUGGCACACUUUCUGUUGAAUGCUCCUCCUUUUGUUCACCUCCAAAAGAUGUAUCGGCUGGUAUACUUUUAAUAUCCUCGAGGUCUUCAACCUUACAAAAUGGACAACCAGAACUAAGUACAAAAGAAUCACUAAGAUAUAAAUCAUUACAUUAAAAUGGAUGUUUAUGAAUUAUGAGUUUAUGACAUAACAAACAAUCAAAUCAGUAAUGGAGCUAUACCGUGACAGCAAUGGGUUGUCCAACCUGAACAUCUUUAGAACCUUCAGGUGCUAAAAUCUUGGCCAGAUACCUGAAGCAUUAAAGGGGUAAGGGUAGACACAAAAGGUGUGUGCAGGAUACAAAAACAUUCAUGAUAAGAAAUGAUAAAGUGACACAAGAGAAUGAAGAUUUGAUAAACAUAAAUACACGAAUGUUAUGGGCAGCCAGCUGGGAGCCCACAACACUAAAGGAAAAAAAAAUGAAACCAUUAUUAUUUGAUCUAGCAGUGCCAGUUUCCAGUUAUUUAAAAACUUCCACUUUUUUAUGUCAUUACCCAUAAUGGUAGAAUAAUUAAAUAGACUUAAAGUUGCAAAAGAUCACCAGAGUAUCUUUCCACGCAUUUUAUGGACCAUGCAUGUUAUACAGCUUAGGUCAGUCUGCCAUCAACACAGUCCAUGUGCAAUGGAAAAGGUAAUCAGGUGAAACAAAGAAGAAUGCAUAAUUGCAUAUUACGCUCAGUUUGACUUGGAACAAUAGAUUGAUAAAGAUUGUCUGAUGGGUAAAUAAAUAAAUAAGGUUUAAAUAAGUUAAUUCCGCUAGUGAAUCCUUUCAUAUGAAGAAAUGUACCAGUAGGUUACCAUAACACAAAAUAUGGUGUUAACUUUGGAACUAAAUAUAAUGAAUGGGUUUCAUUAAAUUUUGGUGAGAAUAUGUUCCUGGAGCAUUAUCAUGUGCUCCGUCCAUGAAUGGGGGGUUCUAAUGAAAAGAACUAGCAACUAUUCAUGAGAUUACAACAUCAUGAUAGAAAAUGUAAACUUGCGAAUGUAACAUCACAACAAUCAAAGUAACUGAAUCAUUACUAAUAAAAUCUUAGAAAAAAUCGUCAAGGGCAUUACCCCUCUUCAAGGCUUUCAAACUCAAGAGUGGCUUUAUCAGUUUCUAUCUCACAUAUCACAUCACCAACCUCUAUCUGCAAAGAACAUAAAGUUUAAUGAUGCUGUUCUCAGAACUAAAUAAAACACAUUAAAUGAGAAAAGUAGGAAACCCUAAGCUGAAAAUAGGAUAUUCUUAUUGAAUCAAAAAAUAACAGUUAGCAGAAGCAUAACCUUGUCUCCUUCCUGUUUUCUCCAUUUCGCGAUGUUACCUUGAUUCUAAUGAAAACUGUGUCAGAGUACCAAAUAUGCAGAAUACAAAAGACACUAAGCAAACAACAUGUAUUAAUGUCUUACUAAGAUAAAUGUUUUACCAUAGUAGGGGAUAGUGCUGGCAUUCCAACCACCAGAUGUGGAGGAAGCCCUGCAAAAAAAGAUAAAACAAAUUAAUGGAAGGUAGUUUAUAAAAAUAAUAUUGCAGUAUAACCGAUAUGCGCUAACAGAAUAUACAGAUACAUGUUUUAAAUGAUAAUUUAGUUGUAAUAAUAUGAAAAAAAAUGCAAGUAAUGAGGUACAAAUGGAUGUGAUUCAUCAGCACAAUAUGUUCACAGAACAAGAUCUUGCUUAGGACAUUUCUCUUGAAUCGGUUAAUUUUGUACAAACCAAUUGUUACUGCAGAAAAUCACACAAUACUGCAUAAUGACAUAGGUGAGCACAUGAGGUUCUUUCCUUGUUGAGUAUAUUACAUUGCAGAACAAAAGGAACAUAGUUAAACAAUAUAUAACUUGACCAAGUCCACGAGAUUUAAGCUAGCAAUUUAAAUACACAUUUUCUGUUGAUGCCAACCAGGGGUAGAUAAAUUCAAAGACUUGCACAACAUCAAAGGUACAGAAUAAAGUCCAUAAGUUAUGGAAUAAUUUUCUGUUUAUUUGUCUAUGUCAAAUUAACACUGUGAGAUGGUUAUACCUGCAGAUGAGAACCAGUGGGCUGGCAUGGGGAUCUGCAAUAAGGACGCAGUAUCAGGAUGCAGUUAGCAAUUUUAUAAUGGAUGAAAAGUUUUAGUAUUUUGGGCCCACCUUGUAAUGUGCGCCCAGAGAUGCUAGAAGUGAUGGCCUGGAAAGAAAUCAUACUUCAGAAAAAAAAAAAAUAUAUAUAUAUAUAUACUUCACAAAACCUUAUUCCAACAAUCUUCAAUUGCAAGUAAAUAAACUACACAAGUGUUGGUCGACGUUCACGAUUUAUGAAUUUAGCAGUUAACCUUACAGUUAAAAUUGGUGGCAUCAUAAGUCCAUGGAGUGACAAACAACUAACACGACAGUAGAAAACCGAACAAUCCCUUGAGGUAUAAAGUCUACAAUGAUGUACCUCGUGGACGCACAUCUGCCCACCUCUGCUAAGGAACCCCUUGCCCGCGACAAGCUGUGGCCAAUCAACAUUACAUGGUCAAAUAGCUGUCUCGAAAAGCAUCAAAAUCUGCACAAAUUCGUCGGCAGCGUCGAUCAUCUAAAAUCUUACCCGACCAGAAGUGCACGUAUGUUUGCCAUCUUCCCAAGCAAAACCGCCGCAGCAAAUGAUCCCUGGUACAGGAUACGCAGAAUGUGUCACAAAACAAAAGGGGCAGCAAAGAGGGGUGGAAUUCAGUUGGGCACGAAAAAUAUUCUACAAUCUCCGACAGGGCCACGCAUGGAUGGGCGGAUUCACCGGCGGAGCCAAGGCCCGGCCACCCUGGGCAGUUGGCCGGGCUCCCACGGUACAGCAGAGGCGGGAGAGGCGAGGGAGGUGCGUACGCAGGGUCGCCGGCCGGUGCGCGGAGGACGGAGGCGAGGGCCCGAGGAUUGGCGAGCACAGAGACUACGGUGCCACAUAAAUCCAAAACAAUAAAUCUAAAUGGAGAGGAAGGAGAUUUGACCGGGAACAGAACCAAUCUCGUGCUUCCAACAAAUGAAUCCGUCCCCAUUCAACCGAGCCAGGACUACCAGGAAGGAAGAGAUCGCUACUCACCGGGACGGACGGAUCUCCAAGCCCGCUCGAGCGAGAGAGGAGCAGCAGCCGUCGGCCGGAGGAGAGGAGAAGGACUACGGCGGGGCGGAAGCCGGGCGAAAGGAGGAUUCGGCGGCGCCGGGUUAGAUGCCCACCACCAGCGCGGACGAAGACGAGCAGGGGGAAGGGAACCCGCAGCCGCAGGGAAGGCAGGUAAGGGCUGUCAACGAGCCGAGCUCGAGCGAGUAGCCGAGCCGCUGGGGAUACCGGUGUUAAACCUGACCUGAGUACCUGACACGUAGGGUCUCCUGACACAGUGACACCAUCACGCAGCUACUCAUCACCAAUUAGGAGACUAUAAACAUAAGCUAAUUAUAAAACUAAUUACAUAAGUUUUAAUUAAUCUGUGAGACGGAUCUAUUAAGUCAAAUUAAUCUAUAAUUAGCUCAUGUGAUGUUAUGUAAAUAUUUAUUAAUUAUAAAUUAAUUAGAACUUGAUAGAUUCGUCUUGUGAAUUAACCAUAAUUUAUGCAGUUUUAUAGUUAACUUAUAUUUAGUUUUUCUAAUUGGUACUAUACCUUAUAAGACUAUCUCCAACAAUCGUCACCCAAAAUACAAGACUCAUUUGUCCUUUGGGUAGCGCUACAGGUAAAAGGUUCCAUACCUAUUUUUAGUCUUCUCCAACAACAAGACCUAAAAGACAACACUCUCUGCAAAUGGGUCUCGAGAAGAGAGGAUACCCAAAUUUGGGUUAUGCCUCUCCUGAUACCCAAAAUAGGUCUUCUGUAUGGGUACUCUGUUGUAGGCUAUAGGUAUUGUGUUGGAGACCCAUUUUAGAUUUUUAGAUUUGGGUUCCAAAUGGGUGUCGCUGUUGGAGAUAGCCUAAACAUCCGAAAGCUACAAACUUUAGUUCGGGUUCCCAACAACCCUCUCGGCGAGUCGGGCUUGGAUCGAGCCUGCACGAGCCGAGCACCAAGGAGCUCACAAGCUUCGAGCCAUUUCUUUAUAGCGCCAAGCAAAGAAGCAGGUUUGGUUGUUGGUCGACGACCGGUGGCUGCGAAAGUUGCGGAUGGCGCGAUCCUCACCGUCCACUACCAACACACGUACACGAUCUCUGAGCUUGACGUCUGGGAUCCCUCGCCUCUCAGUUCGCCAUUCGCCGUCUCACCACGAGCGACAAAUUUGCAGUUAAAAAGAAAUCCAAAGUCAACGCAUGAAUUCAAUUCGUUUUUGGCCUUGGCCUUGUACGGUGAUAUGAAUAUCUCUUUCAAGAUAUACAAAAGCACUUUUUCUUUGGUUAGAGGGAAACGACCGUAACGUACGAGUCCAAGGAGUUCAAAUUUCUAUUUGGACACGUGGAAAUUCAAAGAGGUAAUUGGGGCUUGGAAAUAUCAUUAGGGUAUUUAUAGUGCAGAAAUCAUGAUAGUUUCUAUAGAUAUUAAUUGCACUACUAUAGGCCCGUACAUAGGGCAGUGCAAGUGGAGCGAUGUCACAAGGCCCCCAAAACAUUAGGGGCCCAAAUUUUACUCAAGUGUAUAUAUAUAUUCUUAAUUCCAUUAAUACAAAUUAGCUAUUGUAACUCUUAGUAUAUACGUGUAGUGUUUUAUGUCAUAAGAACAAAAGGCCUAAGAAGACGCAUUAGAAGAGAAGGAAAGAAUACUCGCAUAUAUGAUGUAAGUCUUAAUGAGGUCACAAAUUAAUUACUAAUUUCUCUCAUAGUAUAUCAUAUAUGGCAAAUGUUUUGACAUUAUAUUAGAAUGUACUCCUAAAUAUAAAUCCAAUAUAACCACAUUUGUCGUAGAACUUUUCAUACAACUAGGCUAAUUAUUGACCAAACAUAUCAAAGUUCAAAUCUCAAAAAAUGUGCAGCUUAUAUUUUUUAGACAUUUUAUAUGUGCCCUUUUUAAGUUUUGCACCAGAGCCUCAAAUUCUUAGGUACGGCCCUGCACUACUACAUAGGCAAAUUGUUGAUAUGGCAACUGAUUUAAUAAGGAGAGAAAAAAUUCAAGAAACCAGAACUAACUAAGAAAAUUGGGUCUUCACGCUUAUCGAUGGAUACGAAACUACUCGUAACCUAUUGAGAGAACAAACAUGGUUCUGCACUACUUUAUGUCCUAUAUUUUAUAAAAUCUUAUGCUGAAAAGAUUAGUUUCUUAGUAUAAUGUCUUAGGCUAUAGAAACAGUUAGUAGUUUCUUGUAUUAGGAGUGUCCUUAAGAUAUUUUUAAAACAAAACACUAGAAUAAGACAAACAUGGGAAUGAAAUAUGCUAACACUUUCAACCCUACAAGAUUUCAAAGCAGAGGAAAGUUUAUGAAUAUGGCUUUAGAAGCAAUGUGGAAGAGCAUAGGUAUAUGCUAACACUCUCACAUGAUAAAAUUUAGCUCAUGUUUCGUUUCCUCCAAAAUUCUUUUUAGAAUAGCCCAAUGCAUAGGAAUGUCAAAGGAAUUUUUUGAUAACAUUCAUUUGUUCCAAAUAAGUUUAUACUUUAUAGAAAUAUUUCUUAUAGAUAAUUGAUAUAUAUAUAUAUAUAUACUCCAUUGUAGUAUAUGGAUUGAAACAUAUACAUCAAUCUAAUCUAGUAUUUGAAUACGUACAUACAUGAAUGCAUGUGCAGUCAGUGGAAGGCUAGAACGUCUUGCAGUGCUCUUCCGCACUUGCACGUCAUGUGCAUAGUGAACCAUGACUAGGGCCACGGCCGCCCUAGGCCUGGGUCCGCCAAUGGCUACCAACUCAGAUAGGACCAGAAAACUAAUCAUCAUAUGCUUUUUGUUGCUAUGUGAAUCUUGCAUUAUGUAUUUAAGUAUGAACUCAACGACAAUUCAGACAUGUUCAGAUCUCAAAUUUUUGUACCAAAGGGUGAAGCUCUUAGUUAAGAGGGCGAAGCUGUUAGUAUGAUAAGAUUUGGCACUUGUCAUACCUUAUUUUUCCAAUGAUUUCCUCAUCUAAAUUACCUAGAUGGAGUUUGUCUCACCCGACUGAAGAGCAGCGAUUCGGGGACCGUUACGUGAACCUAGGUUGCUGUUGAUGUUGGCCUGUUGGGCUUAGUUGUCAAUAAGUGAAAAUGUAUGGCCAUAUGGGUCUCUUCCUUGUCUGUGUAGGGAUGAAAAAGGACAAAAAACCCUCAACUAUUUUGCACUUCAACAUUUGAAUAGAAAACGAAAGCGAAAGUAAUAAAGCUGGAUGCAAAAAUAAACAUGAACUUACGAAAUAUCGAGGAUUUUAAAAAUGAACCGAUUCAAGCGGAAUUAUAUCGAACACGGUUUGCAUACGAAAAAUCAACACGAAAUAUUAAUCCUAAGGCCAAGUGCAUAACAAUUAACAAGUGUUAUAACUUUCAUAUAGAAGUAUCUCUAUUUGACACCAUAUAAGAAUGAUAUGAUUUUUCCCACACGACAUUGUACGUGAUUAAUAUACUGCUCAAACUUUAUUUAUUUAUUUUUAACAUCUUAACCACCUCAAAUGAAAAAACUCAAAACUAGAAAGUCAUAGAUCUCGUCAAGAUUGUAAUCAUAUAAAGAUCAUCUUUAUCUGAGAUUGUAUAAAAAACUAUAAUUUUUUUUAAAGUUGGACUUCUAGUGGGCCAAAAACGGUUUAAAUUGUAUUUAGAAAACUAGAUAUUCCAAAUAAAUAGUAGAAAAAUAGAAAACGGUCAGAAAAAACCUAAACCUUUUUAUUCCAUUUUAGAAUUUGGCAUUCCAUAUUUCAAACUGAAUUUGAAUGUGUCCAAAAAUACAAAUUCGAUUAGGUUAAAUAUAAAAAAUACGAAUAUAUCGCCUUCUGAUCCCUCGAGAUAGAGGACUAAUUGGACCAGGCCAACCAACAACAAUAACAUCAAGAUGCAACCAACAGCAAUGACAUCAAGUUGCAAGCGCAAAUUUUAGGACAGAUCGUCACUUAAGUGCCCACCCCGUCUUGCGCAAUAUACCAAGGAACUUGGACAUUAAUUAACGAUAACAUGAAGAAAAUUUGAUGUACAAUCCAACGAUACACAGACGGUCUGAAGUUACUGCUAUCAUCAGACCUCCUUAAGGUCAGUCUCAAUAUAUAGUAUGACAUUGCCAAGUUAAUAAUUUUGUUUAUGUGACAUCUUAUUUAAUGUGUAUGAUAUUCUUAUGAAACAUGCAUUGAGACUGGCCUUAACUCGGUGUUUGAGUUAAUACAAAUGUUAGUUGGUUUCGGUGGUUAGCUUAUUAUAUCUGUUUUAUUUACGAUAAUCGCUAUCGUUGCUACACCCGAUGGGUUGCUGUGUUCACUCACUGAAGUAUGGGUGAAGUCUCUGGUUCAACUUUCAAGUCCAGGGUGGCCCACAACGCAACCGAAAAAGAAUGGAAAAAACAUCCUACUCUUUCAUGCACAUUGCCUAGUCUGGGUUUUUUCUUCUUUUCAAUAUGUAUAUAAAGAAAUCAGUAGAUCGUUUAAACAACAACAAUAAUAAUCACAGCUAAAACCAGUUUCAUCCGUUGGUAUCCUUUUUGCCGAGCUUCUGACCUAUAUGGGCUUUAUAUUAACAAUGAACGGCGUCAGAAUGCUAAAUCCUGAAAACCAUGAGAUAGAAGGGCGAACGGUUCAGCAUCGAGUACAACAUGCUAGUGUUCAUUUUUCCCUCCUGAAUCCCCAAAUUCUCCUUUUCUGAGCCUUAUUAUCUUCAAGCAACCUGAAAUAAAAGGAAAUUUUGAGAUGAAAGUUUAAGGUUUUAAAUCCUGACAAAAGUGUUUGUUUUUAUGUAGAAGCCCUUCCUCUUAGUAUAUUUAAUUCCUUAUGAGACACUCUUUUGAGUGUCUUUCAAAAAAAAAUGGAAAACUUAUGAGGACCUGUUUUAGUAACUAGUUUCACUAAUGAGGAUAAAUUAAUUUUAAGUGUGAACAAGAUACUGCCAGAAAUAGAUGCAGCUCAAGCUCAAGUGCGCAAUAAUUUGGCCAAAUUAUUUGGGGAAGUAUUCGACAAAGGAACAAACAUGUUUCCUGUCUCAGAGACAGACAUUGGAAAGUGAAGCUGCAAAACUAUUAAAAGUACCAGAUGGCCAAGCCUAAAAAGUACCUAUUAUCAGAGCAACUCCAACAGCUUUGCUAUUCUUAUUAUGAAGGCUUUUUAGAACUUGUAUAGUAAAAAAAUAGGCUCCAACAGAUGUGCUAUUUGGUUUUGUAAAAUAGAAAGUUUGCUAUUUCUUGAUUUUCGUUGGCCAUAUAUAGCCAACCACUGACAUUAGCUAUCUGAUAGCAAGGCUGUUGUAGGCCUCUUCUUUUUUAGGAAGUUUUCUAUUUUACAAAAUGGCUAAACAUUAGAAUUUAGCUACUAAUUUUAGCCAAGCUUUUGGAGAUGCUCUCGAGGGCAGGUGGAGCGGCAACAUUCAAUUACGUAGAUAUGUGUAAAACUAGCGGUCAUAAAAUCUUAUCAUCUUCCACAUUGCAGCUUUUUCAGAUGACUCAUUACUGUAGGGCCAUAAUUUCAAGAAUAAUGCACAAUGCUGCUAGAGACUUCACCCCACAAAAUUGUUGUUGAUGUCAAAAACUUGAUCUUGCAAAAAAUAUUGCCUGGUACUCAACUCCCAUUUAUGCCCCCCCCCCCCCCCCUCUUUUGCAAUAGUGUAGGCAAAAAGGGCUGACUGUGCUACUAUCCAUACUAGUACAACACAAUUUUUUUUUACAAAAUGUGAACAGUAACACUUUCGUUUGUAUUUGACAAAUAUUGUCCAGGCUAACUAGGCUCCAAAGAUUUGUCUCGCAAAUUACAUGCAAACUGUGUAAUUAGUUAGUUUUUUAUUUAUAUUUAAUGCUCCAUGCAUGUGCCACAAGAUUCGAUGUGACGGGGAAUCUGAAACAUUUUGCAAAAUAUUUGGGGAGGUAAACAAGGCUGCAUGCUACAAUUCAUAUGUAUGAGCUUGGACAAUUCCGUGGCCUUAAUUCUAGGGUCUCCAAUAAGUCAGCAUGCUACAGCCAAUUAGAGUACGCAUAGGAUACCAGGAUCACCUUGUGCUCCCACGAAGGUAUGACCCAAAAUCUAGUAGUAAAAACACAUCAAUAGAUAUGUUCUGAGAAAAAAAAAACAUCUUUGUUUUUCCUUUUUGAUCUACAAACCUGCAACAAGUGUAUUACUAAGUUACACCCAUUUGCAUCUCUGCAAAAUGAUCUACGAAGAUUGACAUUCAAAAAUCAAAAUGGGCAUGAAGUCAAGGCAAAAUUCAUCAUCCAGAUUCUCCUUAAACGAUUUGUGGCAUGUUAAGGAGCCUUUCUUUUUGGCCUAUAAACUCACUAGAGCAAGUGUUAUGCAGAGUUACACCUGUGUGCAGCUCUAAAAAAUGAUUUAUGAAUAUCAAACAUUCAAAAUGAACAGCCGAACCAAUACUUGUACAUUUCCUAAUGUAAACAAAAAACUUCCAACAUAUUAUGCCACUUGUUAACUCAAUCAUAUCGUUCGAACAUGCCAACAUCACAUAAAUUUCACCAGGAUACAAGUCCUACUUCUAACUCUCUCUUUUUUUUUAAAAAAAAAUGCAAUGACAAGAGCGCUGCCUUUCAUCAAUUAAGGAGGGGAGCAAAAGAGUUUAUAUACAAGAUCAAUUUAAUUUAAUUACCUGCGAUUGAACAACAAAUUUCACCAGAGUCAGAGUACAAGUCUUUUUUGCUCAACUGUAGUGGUCAUAUUGCCAAAUAUCGUGCCCCUUAACAAUAACCGACAACAUCAAAGAGGAAAGGGGGUCUGGGAGUCAUCAAUUUGCAGGUGCAAAAUGAUGCUCUCCUUCUCAAACAUCUCCACAAGUUCUAUAGCAAAGUUGAUGUUCCCUGGGUCAAUCUCAUUUGGAGCAAGUAUUAUUCCAACAAGGUGCCGCACGCCACCAGAGAGGUUGGCUCGUUCUGGUGGAAGGAUGUACAAAGGUUGAGCACAAUUUUCAGGAAUAUUGCCCGAUGCAACAUAGGUGAUGGCACGACCGUAACCCUUUGGCAUGAUCUCUAGUCAGGUGACGCUUUAGCACUGCGUUUCCCCAGACUAUUCUCUUUUGCCAGAAAUCCUAACAUCAGUGUCAGUGAAGCUAUGUCGGCCGAAGAUUUAGAUACUUUAUUUGCGUUGCCCCUCUCACAAGAGGCGUUUGAAGAACUUGAACUACUCGGUGAAUUGCAGUCACAGACCUUAGAUGAAGAGAGUAGAGAUACCUGGAUAUAUCAGUGGAGCAACGCAACAUAUUCUUCGAGCAGAGUAUACAAACUAGCCUUCCAAAACCUUCCAGAGCACCCAGUCUUCACUUGGCUAUGGAAAUCGAAAUGCACUCCACGAGUUAAAGUUUUUGCCUGGCUGGUUUUAGUUGACAGAUUGAACGCUAAAACAAUGCUCCAGAGAAGGAAUCUGUAUGCAGAAAAUAAUGCAUACUGCAUCUUAUGUAACAGCAGGAUUGAUGAGGACCUGGAUCACCUAUUCUUUGACUGUCCUUUCUCUAAGAGUUGUUGGGAUAAGAUUGGUAUGCAGUGGAACACGGGCCUCAGUUUGUACCCCAGGCUGGCACACGCGAGACAACAGCAAAACAUCUCGUUCUUUAUGGAAGUAGUGGUCAUUGCCUCCUGGGAGAUAUGGAAGCUAAGAAAUGAUAAAGUGUUCAAUAAUGGCCCAGUCCACAUUGACAUUUGGUUCAGAAAUUUCAAAAAUCAGUGCCUCCUUCAAUCCCUUCGGUUCAAGGAAGAUCUUAGAUCAGCCUUUUGUUUUUGGCUAGAUGCAUUUAGUUAAAUUCUUGUUAUAUGUUUGUGCUCUUUUUUACAAAAUUUAUAAAAUGAAGUGCUGUGGGGAUUUCCCCCACAGUUUUUGCCUUCAAAAAAUAACCGACAACAUAUGAAACUAUAACAGAUUGCUUUGACGCUAUUCAAUUCAAGCUGACAACGCAAUGGAAAGCCCAUCCCUUCCCUCAAAAGAGAAAAGCAAAGUCCACUCAAUUUCGAUGAAGUAGUCAGAUACAGAUUUGUGUACAUUCAGAUGAACAUCCGGACUCCAGCCACAAACUAGGAUAACAAAACAACACAAGCCAAUCUGCAGUGCAGACACCGAUGGGAUACGUAUUUAUGAAACUGAAAAGCGUAGGGCAACCCCGCAACGGUGUACCUCAAUCGACGUGUUGGUGAAUGUCGUCCCCGUCGUCGUCUUCCUCCUCAUCCGACGAAGAAGAGGAAGAGGAGGAGGACGAGUAAGCGAAAGGUUGCGGCAAAAGCUCGGGGGGCCGGAGGACGAGGAAGCGGCGGCCGCGGCGGAGGUGGAGCGGGGCGCGGCGGGCGGGCCCGGGAAGGAAGGGGACGCAGAGGAAGGCGGCGAGGCGCGCGAGGAGGUGGAGCGGCGCGCAGCAGAUGAGCGCGAGGACGCGGUCGGGCGGCAGCGUCUCCGGGUUGCACGCCACGCGCUGCCACGCCGCCGCCGAGCCCCGCGCCACCCACACCACCCACCCCGGCCGCACCGUCAUGAAUUGGAACCCCCCAAUUCAGCGAUUCGCCUUCGCGUGCGCCGGGAGCGGAGAACGGAAGGGGAUGGGAGGGGAGGCGCGCACGGCACGAAGGCGGGCGCCCCCGUCCGCCUGCCGCGUGGAUCUCGCCGCCGGGUUUGGGUUUGGCGGUUUGCUGCUGUGGAUUCGCUGUUGGAUUCAUUCAUAGCCGGCUCUAGCUUUAUCUACUCGGCUGUAUACGUGGACAAGGCAGCUGACUCAGCGGCUGCUGUGGAGCUCGCCCGAGCGGAACAUUUCUGCUGCGAGUUGAACGCUCGGGCUCGCUCUCGCAUCGCAUCUCCGCAGCGGAUCCGACAUCCGAUUCGCAUUUGGGUAGGCAAUUCGCAAUUCAGAGAUCAGCCUAGCUGGCUACUAGGUUGCAGAUUUGGGCGGAUCCGAUCCGUCGAGGCAUUUCCGGGGCUGGGACUGGCUCGCAGCAUGCGUCCGCGCUUGGGUGGAUGUGGAUGUAUACAAGCAACCAAACAAAAGGUUGCUCUGCAUCUAUUCACGCCCGUACGUGGACCUGUAUGGCUGGGACAAGACAGGCUGUAUAGGGAAGGUCGGAAGGAAAUCAAGCUUCACGAUCAAAGAACACUGCGAUAGCUACCCAGCAGCUGCUGAAGAUUUCACAAGUUAAUAAUAGUCGAAGGCAAAUUUGCUCCCAUUAAUCAGACGGGAAAAACAACAUCUACAGCCCAUGGUCAAUGCACCAUUGCAUGAACAAGUAAAAUGGAACUUUGGUUGGAACAAAAGAAAAACAGUUUCAUCCACUGCAUUUUAUUUCAUGCAUUCUGAUUUUGCCGUAAAGAGAAGACUUGCGACCAUGUCUAUCAGCACUUUAGGGAAGUGUUCUCUGGUAGAGUGGAAGGGCUCCCAGUGCUUCACGCUCGGCGUUUUCCUUUUUCACCUGCAAAAAAUGCGAGAUGUCAAACAACAGCCACUUCUCAUAUGGAUUCAGACAAAAUAAAAAUGGGAAAGAACUUUGCUGCUUAAGUUUAAAUCAAGAACUUUGCAGCAUAGUGCCAAUCAACAGCUUGAGCUAAGGAGUUUCUUAAGCAGUGACACACAUCCAAUCGCAUGUCUGCAGUAAAAAUUCUACUCAUGUUAAGUUGCAAUGCUGUUUACAAAAGGGUUACUUUACAUUGUAUUAGAAGCACACCAUAUAUAAGUUGUCCAAGAAUUUGUAAAACCUACGGUUUCUAUCUUGCACUGAAUAUUGGUUUGCCAAAGUAAAAUAGCAUCAAUAUGAUAGUGACCUACGAUUAGACCCUAGGGAAAUAACAGUAAGAGAAGUAAAGGCCAUGGAGCCACACAAGAACAAGUCCUGAUAUUUAGGCUGAGUUGAAGUUUACCAUUAGAUGCCACAUGAUAUGAUAAUGAUUAAUGAACUACCAAAGCACUAUAUUGCAAUGCGCAUUUUCCCUAAUUCUAACAUGUCUACCCCUACUUAAAUGCAAACUAAUCAAUUCAGUAGACUUGUCAGUUGUACCCAUAUUAAAUCUAGCAACGACUGAUAAGCAAUACACUCCCAACCUCAAUUCUUAUAAUGUAGAUUAUCUCCCUUGUACGCAUGAAAAAGAGGGAGUGCAGUGACUCUAAUGCAAAGGCAUGUGAAAUGCCAAUGGCAUGAAGUAAAAGGAUUCUUACCAGAGCCAACAUGUCACUCAAAUAUCCUCUGAAUGGAACCUGCUGUGCCUGUACAAAAAAGGUAAAUGUUUCACAAUGUGUUUACAAGACUAUAUUAAACAAUAUUUUAUAAUACUGUAAGCAUUACAUGAUGUGAAAAGAGUAACCAAACACAAAACUCAAAUCCAUAGAGAAGAAAAUUCAAAAACACGUACUCACUCCAUUCCAAAUUAUAAGACAUUUCGGCUUUUCUAGGUUUAUAGCUUUUGCUAUGCACUUAGAUAUACCAUAUGUCUUGAUACAUAGUAAAAGCAAUGUAUCUAAAAAAUUUAAAAUGUCUUAUAGUUUGGAACAGAGGGAAUAGUUGAUAACGAUAUGAUUUCACACAAUGGAAAUUCAUAUUUUAAACUUUUAAGUGAACUAAAGACUGUACAUACUACUUCUAUUUUAAAGUGUUGGCAUUUUAUCUUUGUCCUAAGUCAAACGUCUCUCAUUUUGACCAAUCUAUAAUACCAAAGAAACAUACUAUCAAGACAUUUCAUGGUGGAAUCAGUGAAACUAAGCCCAUGCUGUACAUGUUGGCCCAUUUUUAUAUAUAAACUUGGUCAAAGUUAAAGAAAUAUGACAUAGAACAACAAAAUUCAGAUUUAGCAUUCAUCUAAACAACUAAUUGGAACAUCUUCAAGGCAAAACGUAGGACGAGCACAGACAUUAAUCUAAAUAAACAAAAAGAAAUUAUCAGUAGAAAAUGGUGCACUGAAUUAAAAAACUGCAUAAAAUGCCUGAAAUAACCGAAACAAACUUGCUCCUAGCCAAUGUCUACAUUUGGAGACUUCAUAUAUAAAGACAGGCUCAUCCAUAAAAAAUCCUUGAAUCAAAUCUGCCCAUCAGGCUGAAGGCAAAUGCUACCCUAACAAAAGAAUCCUGGAAUCAAUCUGCACCAGCAUGAAGGCAAAUGCUCUCCUAAAUUAAAUUCCUAAAAGCAACAGCGUCAUGGCCCUAAUGCUUACUUCAAUCUCAUCUCUCACCGAAACUUAGUUGAAGUGUUCCACCCUAUUCAGAAUCAUUGGCCUCCUCUGAAACUUCAGGCAAGUAGAACCGUAUGAAUCACAGGUACAACCCAAACACAUCAGCAGAAACAUUUCACUUGACAUGCAAUCAUCCGAAACAUUACACCGAUAAUGAGCCACGUCAGGAGUAGUUUUCAGUAGUGCGACCUAGAACCUACCUAAUGCAGCCUCGGACGCUACCGUCACCACAACCACGACCAUAAUACGAAUCGAGAGAUCUAGAUCAAGGGGAAAUGAAGGGGCACGAACCUGGACGUGCUCGGGGAGGUACUGGUGCUUCAUGGAGAGGUCCAUGGCGCGCUUGAGGCGCUGGAUGCGGGCGUCGAUCACCUCCCUAGGCAGCCUCCCGAGCGCCUCCUUGAUUUCCACGUCGAAGUAGGGGUCGUACAGGUCGUCGUACCUGAGCCCUGUUGGAUCGAAUCACCGGAUCACACGCACGCAGCAGAUCCGAAACGCACCACCAGUCAGAUCAAGGGAACAGGAAGGAAAAAUGACGAAAUCCAAAGGGAACCCCGCAGAGGAUCAAGGCCAUCUCGGAUCCGGGAUUACCGUAUUUCCUGAGGCGCGAGGAGACGGCGUGCAUGUGGAGGCGCGCGAGCGGGUUGCGGCGCGGGUUCACCAGCCAGUUCGCCAGCGCGUUCAUCAUCGACGACAUGGUGGUCGGCGCCGGGAACCUCUUCCUCGUCUUUUGCGGCGGCGGCGGGACGCGGUUGUCCUUCAGACCUUCAGCCUCCUCGCUUUUGGGGCAGGGAAGAAGCGGAGCGCACCGGUGGGAGUGCGUGGUUGCGUGGACGCGAUCUCGGGCCGGGGCCUUUGGCAACUAAAUGGGCUGGGUACUAAUGGCCGGCCCGCACGGAAGCAUUUGUGGCCUUAUUGGGCUUUCCGUUUCUUUCCUAUCCGUCGUGUUCGGUUUGGAAAUCCUCUGCGGUGACUACGAGCGCAGCGCAGAUGGAGGGUCGCCGCUCUGAUCUCGUGCGCGCCGCUGGCGGCUGGCGAGGAUCCGGUGAGGCAUGCAUUGCUCCCCAGUUUCGGCGAGCGAGGGGCGAGAAGCUGCUGGCACGGAGGCAACGAGUGCAUGGACCGGUGAAAAGAGACCCGAAGAUCCAAAGCACACCUACAACUUGCGGGGAUCUCGGCAACAUUGUACGGGAUGAUACCGGGCGUCCUUGUGGCGAGAUUGUCCACGGACAAGAACAAGAGCAAGAUCAAAUCGAAGGCCUUGACUGGGAUUGCAGGAAGCUCGACAGGGAGAUAGAUGGUUUGCGCCAGUGGAUGGAGGUCUCGUCCUAUGAUGAGGAUUAUGCUUCUGCUCAUGACGAUGAGCUUUGGGUUGAGUACAAUGAGGAGCAGCAGAGACAGCAUUGAACCGACGCCUUGCCCUGUGUCGCAUCAGGGCUCAUGAUGUAAUUUUUUUUGUUAUUAUCAGAGCAUCUGAUGCAGAAUGCCAUGGCAAGAUCAUACAGAGUUAAACUUUGCUUUUGGGGACGUUGAUACAGAAGCAAUACCGGGCUAUGGACGAUGAAAGUCUGUUAAAGAUAUUCACUCCAUCGGUUCUUGAACGCAAUUUGUACUAUCCCCUAAAAAAAUAGUAUACCGUAUACUGAUGUUAGUGUCUGACAACACCACACUAACAUUUCUACAGUAGUACUAGGACACUACUAAUUUGACGUCCAUAAGGCCAAAACUCGCUGGUACAGAGAAUCAAGAACAAUUGCUUACUAAAAAGUUCACGUUGCAGUCAAAUAGUACUACUGACUUUGACAGGAAAAGAAACUCACAAUCAAGGUAGCAAUCAGUACACAAUAACUGCCAUCAGUUGUGAGGUUCUCUCAAAGGUCACCAUCAGAGGCGGCCAUGCAUUUGGCUGCACUUACCGGAAACGCCACAUUGCAUAAGCUUCAAAGAUUAGGCAAGGCAACUAAUCAAGUUGCGCCCAUAUUAAAUUGGUGAAAUGAAUGGGCAUGCACUAACACAACAAACUAGUGAUUAGUGGCAUUCUGUUUAUUAAAGAAAACCAAGCAUCAGCUGGCUUAAUGAAACACCCAAAACUUUCUGUAUGGAAAGGACGCUUACAUUAAUUUCUGCAGGAAGGUUCUGCUUGAAUUUUUAAAGAGUGAAGUGAUCAAGGAUCAAAUCCUUUUUGAAACAAAUCAAGGAUCAAGGAUCAAAUCCUGGCCUGGCCACUUUAAUGGAAAGGAAAAAUAAUAAAUUCUUGGCAGCCCCACUGAAAGAGGGCAAAGAAAGAGAGAAAUUUUAGUGAAGAAUUUUAAGUUUGAUUCAGACAGCACAACAGCAACAGCAAGGCAGCUUUGCAACAAAAUUCAUGACAAGAAAUUUCAUCUAGUUGCAACUGGAGAGUUUUAUGAGGUUGUCAAUAUAUGAGGGUUUUCCACUAUGACAUCCCAUACCCAUAUAAAAACAAUUCAAUGAACAUCACUGCCCACCUAGAAGAUAGUUAACCCAUGGCUUUCUUCGUUUAAUAUUGAUCAUCCCAUUUUCAGAUCACCCACGACUUGCUCGGCAGUUUCAAUGAAUUCCUGUAUGGAGGUGAUGAUGAUAUUUGGCAAUCCUAGGCUGAAAGGGAAACGCUAACUGAAAAAAUAGGAAAUUAGGAAAUACUGAACAUGCAAGUGAUCAAAUAUGAAGUGGCGUUCUUAUCAGUGAAGAAAAAAAUGGUGGCUAAGAGAGGUUCAAUUUAUUGUUGCCGGCUCAAAGAUAAUUGUCUCAUUUAUUGUAUUAUUUUUUCAACAUCAGAGCUGAAGUGGUCCAUCAGUUGGAAAAGCUGUUAAGUUUCAUGGUCCAUUCUCCAUUCUCAGGGUCAAUACGAUCUCAUAUGAAAAGCACUAGACCUGCACCCAACUUAUUGGGUGGGCAAAUUCGGCAAACAGAAGGUAUGCUUAAAACAAGAAGAAAAAUGCUAAAAACAAUCCAAAAAUGCACAAAACAAACUCGUUUGGAGUAUGAUUUAUUUAAAAGUAUUCACAAAACUGAACAGAAUUCCCGUUGACUAGAGUUGCUCCAUCUGGACUUCAGGAUCUUCAUCAGGAUGAUCAACUUGCUGCAGAAGACAAGCACAUUCAGGUGCCCGCAGACACGCACAAAAAAGGGCAGCUAGCAGUGUUACAAAGCCUUGAUGCUCACGUAUUCACGUGUCCUGAUUCCUUAAAACUCCACUUUGAACUUUUCCACAGGUUCAAAGUUAUAUUGAGAUGUACUCUAUUUUUUUUCUCUAUUCAAUAACAGCUGCACUAGAUGACAGUUUAUACACAGGAGAACACAAAGAAGCAACUCAAUGUUAUGUUGAACGCUAUUUAUCACAACAAAUAAACUGUAUCAGAACUGAAAGUAACUCAAAAAUGCACAAAAGGAAGUCACGAAAGAAUCUCUUAGACAGUUAAACUAAGUUGUUUUAUCUCAACUUCAGGAUACUCAUCAGAAUGAUCAUUCAGGUGCCCACAGAUAAGCACAAAAAGGCAGUUAUCAGGGUUACAAACCUUGAUGCCCACGUCUUCACGUGCCUUUAUUCCUUAAAACUCCUAACUUUUUUACAGGUUCAACUCAAAGCUAUGUUAAGAUGUAUUCUAUAAUUUUGCUAUUCAGUGACAAUUGUGAGUGAUCACAAGACAAACAAAAGGAGAACAAACUGUUGGACGUUACUAUCACCAACAAAUAAUCGGAACUUUGAUAUACUUUACAUAAUGACAACAUUCUCUUUCUUCGGCAUGGUCACCGAUUGAACUAUUUGAUCAUUAGAAUUAUCCUCACUCAAGGCACAAGAAGAAGAGUGAGAAAGAACAGAGUGGCAAAGCCACUGGGAUAUCACAUAACUUGCCAACUAUUCAAACAAAGCGUUUAUAGGAGAUGGCAAAACAAAAUCAAAAUAAAAUGAAAGAACAUAUAUUGGAGAGCCUCCAUAGCAUUCUGAUGACCUCAACAAAACGUCUUUUGUUAGCACUAAAGAAAAGGAGGCAGGUGCAGAAGCAAAUUGUGAUCCUGCAAAAAAAACCUAUUCAACCUUCCACGCAUGCAGGAUCAGCGAGAAACCAAGACCUUGCAACUGGGACUCCCUAAAAAUCUGCGAGUAGGACCAUGGCAGCGACUUCUCAGGUGCCUGGCAUGUCUGAAACAUGAACACCGCAUUGCUCGUCGUUGAUCCAAAGAGCCAACUGUGAACAUCCCAGAACACCUCCACAGGCAAGCCAUCAACGAGAAUUGUCUGAUUUCCCCUAAACUUCCACGCCAGGCGCUUCACCUGCAUCACGGGCUUCUUAUCAACUCUUAUUUCAAGACAUGGAUCCUUCAAGCCGACGGUAUCGCACUCUAUGGCAAUGUCAUGGAACUGGCCAUUGUUGCAGAAUUGCGCCUUGGCAGAGUAGAUCUUCUUGCCAUAUAUGUGCUCCUUCCUCGCCACGAACGCGGCAUUCAGCAUCGAUCGGUUGGCUCCAGUCUUCCUGUACGCAUCCUUCUUCAUGUCCCCCAGCAAGAGCACGAGCUCAAGGUCGAACACCACCGCAACAUAGAACCCCUCCACCGGUUCUGGCCCGGCACCGAACUUGGCGCCCGACAGGUCCCAGAAGAUGUCGAUCUUGCCGUCCUCGACGUCGAGGCUCUUGGACCCCUUCUUCUUGGAGAAGAGCCACGGCUUGAUGUCCGCCUUGCAGAGGCAGUGGCCGGACAGGUCGUCGACGCCGAUGCUGAGGCCCUGCCCCAUGAGGCUCUUGCUCCACGUGAGCGAGAUCACGCAGGGCCGGCCCGAGAACUGCGUCUGGUAGAGGCAGGUCACCAGGUUCUGCGCCGCGCCCUUGCCGGCGCUGGACGACGACGACGACGCGUCCGCGAUCUGGACGCCGCUCUCGCCGAAGCAGGAAGGGAAGUCCCUCAUGGCUGGCUUGCACCGGUCGGGGUCCUUCGUCGAACACCUGGCGUGCAGCCGCCCGCCCGCCCGCCGCUUGGAUCACAGCACAGAGCAACGCCCCUCUGCACUCCUCACCGCAGCAGUCCACACCGCCCGGCCAGCCCGCUUCGCAAUGCCGGCGAAGAGAUGACCAGCCGCGAACAGAUCGGCCACGCAGAUACGGAGGCCGCCGUCGGAGACUGCUCGAUCCGGCAAUGCCACCGCCGGCGGACGCGAGAUCCCGCUUUUACUUGCGAAAGGCAGCACCGACACCGCCGGGAAAUCGAGGGGCAGCGGAGGGAAUGGUGUCGGGGCAAAGAUUCCUUCACGGCCCCGCCCCGCUCCUUCCCUUUCCACCGCGAUACGACACAGCGGCGCCGCGUAGGCCACCUUCUUCGCCGCGAAACCCCGGCGACGGAGCGAUCUUCCCACUCCGCCGGGACUCCGUCGAAGGGCAGCUCAGUCUUCCACCUUUAUACCCACAGCAGCGGCAGCGGCGAACCAGAAGCUUUCCCCCAGGCGAGGCGAGGUGAAGGCUUCAGCAAUCAGCGGUAGAUGCAUGGUUGCACACCAUACCCAUGGCCAUGGGAGAGUGGAUUGAGAGGAGCAAGUGGGGAGAACACUGGCAACCACUCCAACCAGUUGUACUACAGGCUAGGCUAGAGAUGAGGGAAGCAAGCACCAAGCAGCCGCAGCAGCAAGGAGCUCAGAAGAAGUAGUGGGGAGGGGUGGAGCUGGUGGUGGUUUGGGAGGGGAAGGAGACAAAAGGUUAGCGAGAGGAGGGGAUACAGUACAACCAUACAAGAUACAGCACGCGCUGGCAGCCAACUCACUGCUCAGCUAGCUCCAUGGUGGAAGAUGGAGGGAGGGAGAGGAGGGCAGGGCAGGAAGCGCUGCAGCCGCUGGCUCUCGCUGUUCCUCAUCAGUCCUCUCUUUCUGUGACUGCUGCCAUGCCAUUGCCCAGUGCCACUGUGACUACCGCGCGCUAGGUACCAGUAGGAUGCUAGGAGUAGUAGGAGAGGGACUGGACUGCCUCUGUGAAUUGUGAUCUGAUGGCCUCUGUGAACUGUGGUUACGAAAAGUGAAAAGUUUUCGGUACUGUAGCACUUUCGUUUGUUUGUGACAAAUAUUAUCCAAUUAUGGACUAACUAGGAUCAAAAGAUUCGUCUUCUGAUUUACAGCUAAACUGUGUAAUUAGUUUUUGUUUUCGUCUAUAUUUAAUGUUUCAUGCACGUGCCACAAGAUUCGAUGUGACGAGGAAUCUUGAAAACUUUUUGGUUUUCAAGGUGAACUAAACAAGGCCUGUGAUCUUGUGCUGCUGCAGAUCAUAUUACUCGCAAAAGAUCUUGAAAUCUGGGACUAUGAACGGCCAGACAAUCAGGAAAAGGAAUGGGUCAAAACACUUGAGCCCAUGCCAUGCUCAAGAAAACUUCAGGCAGACAGACAAACACAAGUGAACAGGUGACAAAUUGCUGUAAAAAGACAGGCUUGUUUUCUCUCGCAAAACCCACAUGGAGGCCCCUUUUUUUUUUCCAGUGGCUAUUAUGUAUGUUGCACCUGCAGGUUGCACAUGGCGUCACUUUCGCUCCCUCUCGAGCUCUUUUCCUGAAAUUUUCUUUGCUCCGGAGAACCGGUUCACAUGCACUACAGUGGAAAAUGACUGGAGUAUGCAAGUACAGGUACACCGUGAGGUGAGACCAUCUCUCGCUGUUGUCUUCUCUAGAAAAUUUAUAGGCAUGCAUGUAUCUGCCUUCACGAUUUUUCAGAAAAAAGAAAAGAAAAUUGCAAGUGAACAAGCAUCGUCUGAUCGUCACUUGCUCCACUUGCUUCCCCCAUGCUUAGCUUUGCUAUGAAUGUUCAAGUGGAAAUGGAGUUUUAAUUUCUUACAUGGAAAAUUUGGGUGACGCGUGCGCUCUCAAUCAUUGCUUCUACAUAUACCAAGUUUUUUUAUACAACACUCGAUGGUUUUGCUGCAUGAUUGAGAAUGUAAACUAUACAGCAUGUCAUUUCAGAAAUAUUCCAUCUAAGCUAUCCUCACCAAUACUAUGAGAAGAGGAUAUUUUUUAGGGGCAGUUUAGCAAGUUGUACUGCUAUGGCCUUUAAUUUUCAGGACGUACUUCCUUUUUAAAAAAAAAUAGAGACAAAUGGUAUACUCCUAGUUCUUUUUUGAUCGGUAGGAGAGCUGUCUGUGUCUUUAGUCUGUACUUUGUCUUCCACAUAUUCAUGGCAUAGAGUUAAUACCUCUGUCGUUAAAAGAUGUACUCCAUCUAUUUCAAAUUAUAAGUCAUUCUAAGAAUUUUGAAGAGUUAAAUAUUUUCAAGUUUAACCAAAAUUAUAGAGAGAAAUACUAAGAUGAGUAUACUAUGAAAAUAUAAUUAAGGAAGAAUCUAAUGAUACUUAGUUGUUAUCAUAAUAAAAAUUAUUUUAUCAUAUAAAUUUGGUCAAAAUUAGAAUAUAUUGACUCUCUAAGAUUCUUAAAAUAACUUACAAUUUGGGAUGAUUUUUUUAGAUCUAAUUAAAGUCAAAUUAUCUUAAAUUUAUAAAAUAGUAUCAACGUAUAUCAUUAUGAAAAUAUAUUUCAGGAUGAAUAUAAUGAUGCUUAGUUACGAAAAUAUCGAUAUCUUUAAUAUAAUUUUGAAUAUAAUGACCUAGCAUUAUUCUAAAAUUAGAUCUUUGGGGAGCAGUCGACAGCAAGAAAAAAAUAAUGAAAAUACAGAUACACAGAGGGUACUGGGACCAUGCAGUGAGGUUUGGGUAACUGUAAUCAAUGAGAAGGACAACGGUUUUCUUGGAUCUGGGCCCAUUUCAUCGCAUCCGUUAACUGCACGCCCACGAGGCCGCAUUUAUUCACCUCCUGGACCUGGAGAUCAUAAUCACCCAGUCUUCACUCUGCUUCGUCUCCAAGCAAAGGUACACAAGAACGACACAGUUUCCUCCUCACAUCACAUUUUUUUUGUUCUAUAAAAGAUGAAUUUUUCACUUCAACACAGGCCUUUUUUAGUUUCCAAAUUUUUUUUGGAAAGUCAACACUAUAGCACUUUCGUUUGUAUUUGACAAAUAUUAUCCAAUAUAAACUAACUAGGCUCAAAAGAUUUGUCUCGUUAAUUCCGACCAAACUAUGCAAUUAGUUUUUAUUUUCGUCUAUAUUUAAUACUUCAUGCAUGUGUCUAAAGAUUCGAUGUGAUAGGAAACAUGAAAAAUUUUACAAAAUUUUUUAGGAACUAAACAAGGCCACAGCUAACUCUCUCAUUGAGAAGUAAGCUCGAUGCAUUGGAGGAGAUGAUAUGAAAAAAGAAAGAUCUGAAUUACAUCCCUAGAAUUUUAACCUCAAACUAUGGCCUUAUUUACUUUCUGAAAAUUUUGCAAAAUUUUGUAAGAUUCUUUGUCAUAUCAAAUCUUACGACAUACGUAUAGAGUAUUAAAUAUAGAUAAAAAAUAACUAAUUGUACAGUUUGACUAUAAUUUAUGGGACGAAUCUUUUGAGCCUAGUUAGUCCAUGAUUGGAUAACAUUCACCAAAUACAAACGAAAAUGCCACGGUGUCCAUUUUGUAAAAUAUUUUGCAACUAAACAAGGCCUAUAUAUUUUCCUACUUUUUUGUUGAAGUAUAUGUAUUUUUGUGGGAAAUAUAUAGAGGGUUAUUGUGUGGGCCCGUGAGCCAUAUAUGCGCAUCCCCUUUAUCUUGCACCUACUUCACAGCUAGAACUAAAGCAAUAACAAAUAAAGAUAGGGAGACACUUCUUGAUUUUAAGGCCAUGUUUAGUUCGCGAAUGAAAAAGUUUCGCGACACGGUAGCACUUUCGUUUGUUUGUGGUAAUUAUUAUCUAAAUAUAGACUAACUAGGCCCAAAAGAUUCGUCUCGUAAAUUUCGACCAAACUGUGUAAUUAGUUUUUAUUUUUGUCUAUAUUUAAUACUCCAUGCAUGCGUCUAAAGAUUCGAUGUGACGGGGAAUUUUGAAAAUAAAUUGCGUUUUGGGUGGAAUUAAACAAGGCCUAAAGUGGAGUAGCUAGCACACUAACACCAUGAGGGUACAAACUUGGUUGUUCAUGGAGAAUAGGGUCCCAUGCAUCUCAGGUUCUCAAUAAAUUACUUGCCUAGCUAGAGCCAACUACCAUAUACUUGGCAUUGGUAGGUGUUGCCGUGCUGCUGCUGUUCAGUUUCCAGUCCUUUGAUUUUUUUUCUUUGACAGAGUGGUUAACAUGAUUUUGUAGACUCAGAUUUGAAAGUAAGUACUUCUCUACUAAUAGUAGAGUCAAAGGUGAAUGCACUUGGAGAUUUUUUUGUGAGUUGGAGUAACCAAUAGGUGGAGUUUGACCUAAGCUUUCUCUUCCAUCUAACUAACCUUUUGCUAACAUGGUAGUAUACCAAUUGAAGGAUGGGAACUACCGUUCAUAAGUUAGUUCCAAAAAUGGAGAAGCUAGCUAGCAAAUAAUCAAGACCUACACCUAUAUAUAGAGAGAUCUCUUCCUAGCUCUUAAUUUGACCAAACACCAAGACAUAUAGCAGCCUCUGUGCUUUGCUACUGCUACGAGGUUGUUUUGAGCAUCUCCAAUAGUUUGAUAAACUAACUUGCUAUCCUAAUUUAUUUGGCAAAACUAAAAAAAACAUCCUCCAACAGUUCCUCAAACGAACUUGAUAUCCCUAGCAACUUGCUAUCCUCCAGCCUCGCACUACCAUAUUUGCGCACUUGGAGAAGACUUGCCAUCGCGAAAUUUUCCGUCGCCCUCGCCUGUCCCACACGACUGCCUCCCGCGCGUGCCAAGUCCUUCCCGUGUUUCUCCCUUGCACGCGCGAUGAAAACCAUGCGGUAUAUAUCCAGAGAAGUCGUCACCGUUUCCUCAUUUUUCAUCACCGCGUCGCCGCCAUCAGUCUUCAUCAUCGCGCGAGUCAUGAGUCAUGCGGCAGCUCCUUUCCUCUUCGCGUCGCCAGGUAUGCCCUGUCCGCGAUCUGCUAGAGGAUCGAUCUGCUAGCCUGAGGUGUCGAACUUGUUGCCAAUCUUGCCAAUAUUCUAGUAUAUUGUUUGCUUCGGCUCAAGACCACCAAUGCAUAGCUAGAUGCAUGGCAUUACCGGUGCAUCAGGUCACAUGCUUGCUUGCUUGUGGCUACAGUCAAUCAUCACCAUGGUAUAGUGUCUAUUCGAUCAGUCAAGGAAGGAAGCGAGCAACAGCUUCUGGUACGACGAGCGUGUCCUUGUCGGCGCCGCAACAGGAGUAGCGUCGCGGUGCAAAGGAACCGGCGGCGGCGUCUUUCACAUACGCGAGGUGUGAGGAUCUUCACGGCGCGAGGAGGAGGCCUAGGGUUGGAUUAGGUACUAUGUGGGAUUAUUUUUAAAAUUUUACCAAAUUGGAAUGACAAACUAUUGGAGAGACAUCUUUUUUCACUUGUCAUAUUAUUUAGCAACUUGCCAAAUCACAAGAUUUGGCAAAUGAUUUUUACCAAAUUAUUGGAGAUGCUGACAUAUAGCUAGCUAGUAGCUAGUGAUCAGUGACUACAUACAAAACGCACGCAAACCUUCAGUUGAUCACUUAUUAGCGAUCGACAUGCACACCAUGUUAGUCCAGGACUACUGUGCUCUUCCAAGUAGAAGCAUGCAUCAUGAUGUCGUCCAUUCUAGCUGGGUGUCACUUUGCUUUCUGACCCUGCUGGCAGUUUUGGCGUGUACGUAUGCCAUCAUGCAUGCCCAUCGCAGGCUUUAUUUGCAUUGCAUUGCCAGGAAAUCUCUGUGCAGAUGGGGAUCGCAGAUAAUGGUAUCCAGAAAAAGUUAAGGGCAGGAGAAUACUCUUAGGAAGAUUGCGGCCGGGCUGGUAGACAUCAUGCAUGCCCUUUUAAUUAGUUUAUUGGCAUAAAAAUUAAAUCCUUCAUCAGAUAGAGAAAUGAUUGGUUCUGGGUAGUAGAUAUGAGCAUUAUAAGGCCUUGUUUAUAUGCGAAAACUUUUUGGAUUUCGCUACUGUAGCAUUUUCGUUUGUUUGUGGCAAAUAUUGUCUAAUCAUAGACUAACUAGGAUCAAAAGAUUCGUCUCGCGAUUUACAGGCAAACUGUGUAAUUAGUUUUUAUUUUCGUUUAUAUUUAAUACUUCAUGUAUGUGCCGCAAGAUUUGAUGUGACAUAGAAUUUUGAAAACUUUUUAGUUUUUGGGUGAACUAAACAAGGCCUAAGUUCACAACAGGCGAUGCUUUCUAAUUUCUCCAGGGCAGAGAAGAACCCAACAAAAUCACACGUACCAUGAGAUUAAUUUUUGCCACCUGUUCAAUUUACUUAUUUAAUUGUUUACAUAAAAAAUCACACUUAGCUUACAGCUAAUUUGUCAGUCUAAGGCAAAAUAGUAUAAGAAUUUGUUAGAAAUUUAGACAUUUUACUGUUUGAUUUAAUCCAGAAAAUUACGCAUAAUAUUGUGGUGGCAUAUAUGUGCACGUGUGCAAUUUUAUCACUACUCAGAUUAGAGACAAACAUUGCAAAUACUACUGCAACAACAACAGACAUACUGAAAACGAAAAACAAUCGUUUAAGAUUGUACCCAGAGGAGGGACCAGUGCCGAAGGCACCGGUGGCUCCAUUCGCACUAGUCGACAUAGUGCGUUGCUCGAAGUAGCGGACCACAGUCGGUGCAGGAAGAUGUUCGCAGUGCAGUCCCACGAACGUCCACCAGGAAGAAGACGAAGUAGUCGAUCUCGAUCCGCGCGAACGUCCACCAGGAAGAAGACCCGCCGGAGUGGAAGAAGACGAUCUCGCCGGUGAGCAGUCGCGGAAGACGCUCCCCAAAAACCUGAUUGCCCGCAACACCCAAGCAGGUGUCUCGAUGCAAGGCGUCGGGUUCCGGAGGCCUGCUCUCCCGAUCUCUGUGCGCGCAAAGGUUCGCCUCCCGAUCUCUGUGGGAAUGGACAGAGUGCAACUCGACAAGAAGAGAGAAGACUGAGUGUGUUCUCGCAGGAAUGGAAGGAGAGAAGACUGAGUGUGUUCUCGCAGGAAUGGAAGGAGUGGGUGCGUAUGGUAUAUAUAGGUCUCAGGAGCGCGGCGGCGGCGCGCGCGUGUGGCACCCCUUCAUCCUCCCUCAACUUCUCCAUAGGGGCUAACAAAGGCCACCUAUUUAAGUUGAGUUAACACAUGGUCAAUCAUCAAUAUGGUACUAAACCAUUUUCAUUAUAGCAUUAAUUAUAGGCCCUUGAAUUAAUCAUCAAAUAUAAAUAUGGGCUAAUGGCCCAUUAUAUUCAACAGAAUUCCGCGUGUACAUUUUAAUUCGUCUGGUGGGGGCAUUCUGUUUGAAGCAAAAAUAUUAAGGUUUGCUUGCUCCCGGUUCGGUGGCAAUGAUCGCCGGAAAAGGUAAAAGCGAAGGGCCGGCUUUACAGAAAAAUGCCUGCUAUCAGUCUGGGAUAAAAAGUGUCAGGCACGCUAAUGAUGGCUUUGUAAUGAUCACUGACGGUGCACUUCCAGUACGUAGUCGCGCUGUGUAAUACUCCUAUGAGCCUGUAAGGAGCACGCCAGAUGUAUAGCCAUGUAGGAAAUCAAAGAGAGUGAUCCUAUUUUUUUGUUUCUUUGGGAGAUGCCAACUCAGCUGCUUAACUAGUUGUCUGGAUCCAUUGAAAUAUCUCCAAGGAUCAUGCAUAUGGUUACACGCUCUACUCUCUCCAUCCCAAAAUAGAUGUCGCAAUGAGAUGCAAGCAAAUCAUUUUUUUGGCAACUUUGAUUAGGUUUCUAGAAAAUACAUACAACAUUUAUAUAUCUCUGAAUAAAUUUAUUAUGGAAAUAUAUUCAAUGAUCUAUCUAAUGAUACUAAUUAUAUAUUGUAAAUAUCAAUAUUUUUUUAGAUAUAUUUGGUUAAAAUUAAAAAUGUUUGACUUCUUCGGGAAUGAUAUCUAUUUGAGGAUGAAGGGAGUAUUGUCAUAGUAUGCAUGUCUGAGGACUUUCACUGAAACGUGAGAAAGACUUAUUACACAUGUACAGCAAGCGUGAAUCGUCCCAAAAUUAGUCCUAGGCAGACUUCUGGGAGAGUAUUAUUUUAACCUGUGGACUGGUUAGGUGGAGGCCAUCAUGCAUCUAGAAUAAAAAAAUGCCAUUUUUAUCCCACUGAUCUGUCUUGAAUUCUGAAAAGGUGUCACUCUGACUAGUGUGUGGAUCCUCCUGUAUGUGUCGAUGCUCCAAAAUACCAUGUCAAAUACUAGGAAAGAAAAAAAUAAAAGAUCGAUGUGACAAAUGAGAAAGAUUUUAAAUUUAGGUGUCAAUCAAAUAGAAAAACAUGCCAACAAGUAGGAAAUUUUCUUGUACCUAAACUAGCCACCUCAUCUAGGCGGGCCGUGUUUAGUUUGUGAAGGAAAAAAUUUCGUGAUACUGUAAUAUUUUUGUUUGUUUAUGAUAAUUAUUAUCCAAUUAUGGACUAACUAGGUUUAAAAGAUUCGUAUCGUAAAUUUCGACAAAUUGUACAAUUAGUUUUUAUUUUUGUCUAUAUUUAAUACUCUAUGUAUGCGUCUAAAGAUUCGAUGUGACGGAGAAAUUUUGAAAAAAAUUAGUUUUUUAGGUAGAAGUAAACAAGACCCUGGAAGCUUUUGCAUUGUAAUUUUGGGUAAAGUGACGACUAUUGAACUUCUCAUCACAUCAAAUCUUUAGACACAUGCAUGUAGCAUUAAAUAAAGAUAAAAAAUAAAUUUAUCUGUAAAUCACGAGACGAAUCUUUUAAGCUUAGUUAAUCUAUGGUUGGACAAUGUUUAUCUAUCAAAUAAAAACGACAAGGCCUCACACGUACG
rnacentral:lncRNA from 1 species